AUCCGCUUCUAGUUCGACUUUCUGUAAUCGAAUCCGAGCUUUUUCGAGUUGCUCAAUGGUCCCUCUACGCAAUUCUUCUGAAUUUUGAAUAGUACUCAAGAUCCUCUGUUUUCGAUUAUCUAAUAAAUCUUUUAAUGAAAGUAGAUUAUUUUGUAAGUUUACAACUUUUAUGAUCUCUUCCCAAACCAAACAUGAAUCUUUCGAUUCAUUUGGCUCUCACGCUCCUUUUUUUCUAUAGCUAUUUCCAUAUCUUUUUUUAAGUAAUGAGCCUAUCCUCUAUCUUAUUUUUUAUGUUUAUAUUUCAAUAUACAGAAACCUAUAUAAGACUAGAUAAAUAUUAAGAGGACUCUUCCGCCUAGAUAAAAAUAUAUCAUGGUCAGCAAAGUUGUUUCUAUAUUUUUAUUUGCCCUCUAGUUAAUAAUUUCAAUUUCAUUAAGAAAAACUAACUAAAUAAAUGGAAAAUGAAAAUUUAUAGAAUUCUUUUUUAUUUUUUUCUUCAAAUCCAAAAAAUUUCUCUUUUUAUACAUAGGUCGUCGAUUCGGCAUUGGUUAAAAAAGGGCAGGGUGCCCCCUUUUUUUCUAGUAAAUAGUUCAAACCAUUUUAUCGAUAUGAGUGUUCUAUAUUAGAUAAAUUUUACAUUAGCUAUUUCCCGUUAUUAUUCGGUACUAAUACUAACAUAGUUGUAGAAAGAGUACCUCUUUUUGCCUGGACUUCAAGCAGUUUAGCUUUAACCGUGUUAAUGGUCUCACAUUCUUGGUUUAUAGAGAAUCAAAGUUGAUUUACCAAUGAGUCGCAAAAUGCUAUGGUUCUUCCAUAUGAUUUCUGAAUUUAUUCAGAAGUAAUUCGUCGAGAUCGUGCACCCUUUUCUUAUUUAUCCAAAAAUACUAAAAAAUAUUAUAAAGUACAGCCAGAUAGAUCCAAUCUAUUCUUGAAAUAGACAACUCGCACACACUCCCUUUCCAAAAAAAAUCAAAACACCAACCACUACAGUUAGAUUUAUUAGAUUUGUUGCUAAAAUAUUGGUAUUAAGCCCGAAACUGCCAGCGGAUGGCCAGUGAGCUAAAAAAAAUGAAAGAAUGGGUUACAUUUUUCAUAUGCUCUCCUCUUAUAGAUAGGACGAACAAAGAACAAAGUUUUUCGAUCACUUACUUCGCUCGCCCUUUUUUGAUCGGUUUUUUUAAUGCAAAUAGAUUCAAUCUAGUAAUUUCUUUUAGAUUAAGUCUUACGUCUUGUUUGACCGGUGAAAGACUUCCUUUGUUGAAAUUUUCUGUUCCCAAAAUUCCUAAAAUAAAAGGAAAAAACUUUCCACUUUCCUAAACUAAGGACGGGAAAUAAGAAGGUGAGCAUAUCUUCUAAAUUAAUAAUACUCAACUCAGCCCUUCCUAGAAUGGGGUAUUAUCUGUCCCGAUAAAUAGAUAAUUCCAGGAGUAAUAAAUAGGAGUAAAUUAAAUAAAGUAUUGAUAUAAUUGGAAUUGUGGAAGCAAAUACCAAUUUACUAAAAAAAGAAAAAAGUAUCUAAUCGAAAUCGAAAGAAUUUUUUUAAGAUUAAACAAAAGGGUUCGCAAAUAAAAGCGCUAGUGCCACAACUAGUCCAUAAAUUGUUAAAGCUUCCAUAAAAGCUAGACUAAGCAAUAAAGUACCUCGUAUUUUACCUUCUGCUUCUGGCUGUCUCGCAAUACCUUCUACAGCUUGUCCUGCAGUAGUACCUUGACCAACUCCAGGUCCAAUAGAAGCAAGCCCUACGGCCAAUCCAGCAGCAAUAACAGAAGCAGCAGCAAUUAGUGGAUUCAUGGUGAGUAGUUCCUCGUGUCAAAAAAAAGAAAUGGUUAAGGAUACAAUCAACCAAUAAAUUCUUACUUCUAAGCUCUAUUGGGGAGAAGUAAAGUAACUAAAAAGUACAAAUUGAAAUCAAAUUGAAAUGAUAAUGUGAAUUGUCCGAACUACAUAGAAGGGAAUUCCAUAUCCAUAUAUCGGAUUAGAUAAUGAAUCUAACCUAGGAAUAUAUAAUAUAAUAUCCUAUAUAUAUAUAUAUAUACAUUUGUUUCUUCUAUUUUGUUUGCAUAUUUUCUCAUUUUCUAUUGAAUCGGAUUCUAAAAUCAUUGCUUAAGGUGGAAACCUGCAUAAAAGAGGACUCCACUUAUAGACAUUAAGGAUAUUAUAGUAUAGAUCUAGCCUGACUCCACCCUCCUUAAUGCAUAUAUACUUUGAAAAUUCCAUAAUAUAGUCUAUUCUAUUCUCUCUCCUACAACUCUAGGCUAUAUAUUCAUACGCAUUUCUAACUAUUUUUUUGCAACCAAGCAGAUUAUCUGGAACCAUGCAUGAAUUGAGCUAAGCUGCAAAAAAAUUACUAUUUCCAAAAAGAGUCAAUUCAAUGAUGACCCUCCAUGGAUUCACCUAUAUAGGCUGCGGCUAAUGUUGCAAAAAUAAGAGCUUGAAUACCGCUUGUAAAUAAUCCAAGAAACAUGACCGGUAUAGGGAUUACUAAGGGGACUAAAGAAACAAGAACAACAACGACUAAUUCAUCCGCCAAUAUAUUCCCGAAAAGUCAAAAGCUAAGCGAUAAUGGUUUUGUGAAAUCUUCUAGGAUGUUAAUUGGUAAAAGGAUUGGAGUUGGUUUAAUAUAUUUCUCGAAAUAGCUCAAUCCUUUUUUGCUAAGACCAGCAUAAAAAUAUGCCACUGACGUGAGUAAAGCUAAAGCAACAGUAGUAUUUAUAUCAUUCGUGGGCGCUGCUAAUUCCCCAUGGGGUAACUCUAUAAUUUUCCAAGGUAAAAGAGCACCCGACCAAUUCGAAACAAAAAUAAAAAGGAACAUAGUUCCAAUAAAGGGAACCCAGGGACCAUAUUCUUCUCCAAUCUGAGUUUUGCUCAAGUCUCGAAUAAACUCAAGGACAUAUUCAAAAAAAUUCUGACCAUCGGUCGGGAUGGUUUGUGGAUUCCGAACAGCUAUGACAACUGAACCUAGCAAGAUAGUAAUUACGACCCAAGAAGUGAUGAGUACUUGGGCAUGAAUUUGGAAACCUCCUAUUUGCCAAUAGAAGUGUUGGCCUACUUCUACACCCGAUAUAUCAUAUAACCCCUUGAGUGUUUUAAUGGAACAAGGUAUAAUAUUCAUAUUGUCCUCUGAUAAAAAUUGAACUUCAAAAAAGGAAUUCUUUUGAUUCAACCAUCUCUUUCUCAACUCAGCAACUUGAAGUAUUAAUCUUAUAUUUAGGAUACCAAGAAAGCACAUCAGAUCAUAAUAUAUAUCAAUACCCUCUAAUAUAUAUCAAUAUUCCCCUUCUUUUUUCUAUGCAAAAAAAAGAUAUAGUAAAGUAAGUGAUUCCAUAAAUUUACGCAGUUGCCCAAGAAUUCACUAUAUAUUCUUAAUCAACGAUUUCUUAUAUAGAGAGAACGGCCCUCACAAAUUGAAAAUACUAAUUUGUUAAGAAUCAAUCGAAUUGAAGGCAUAGUGUCAUCGUUGGCUGGAAUCGAUAUAUUCGCGAGAUCCGGGUCACAAUUUGUAUCGACUAAAGAAAUAGCAGGAAUCCCCAAAAUGGCACAUUCCCGAAGAGCUAUAUACUCUUUUUGCUGAUCAAGGACGAUCACAAUGUCUGGCAAUCUCGUCAUAUAUUUGAUCUCGCCGAGAUACCUUUGCAAGGUAGAUAAUUUUCUCUUCAAGAUUGCCACAUCUCUUUUUGGGAGAUGGUGGAAUUUUCCCAUUUUUUCUUCUGCUCUUAAGUCUCUAAAUUGAGAAAGUCUAGUUUUCGUAAUCGACCAAUUCGUUAACAUACCACUGAACCACUUUUUAUUAACAUAAUGACAACGAGCCCUUAUUGCAGCUGAUGCUACUAAAUCUGUUGCUCUUUUUUUGGUACCAACAAUUAAGAAACUUUUUCCCUGACUUGCUGCAUCAAAAACUAAAUCACAAGCUUCUGAUAAAAAACGAGCCGUUCUAGUGAGAUUUAUAAUAUGAGUACCUUUACGCUUUGCCGAAAUGUAAGGGGCCAUUUUACGAUUCCAUUUCUUAAUACCAUGACCAAAAUGAACUCCUGCUUCUAUCAUCUCUUUCAAAUUAAUGUUCCAAUAUCUUCUUGUCAUUUUUUCCACACUUCCUUUUUUUAAUCCUACCAUUCCAUUACGGAAUUUAGUUCUUUUUGAAGAUUAAGAAAGAUCCGAAAUAGCUUGAAAUAAAAAAUAUUUUUUAUGUAUCCUUAAAUGAUAUAGGGUUAAAUGUUAAAUGGGGGUUCUUAUGUCUCAUAAAAAUUGUUUGUUACGUCAGAAUCAGAAGAAACUAAUUCUGUAUGGAGAAACAAAAAAUCUCUCAUUUCCGACGUGAAUAGAUUUUUUUUAUUUGGAAAUAAAGGUUCUUGUCUUGUGGGGAACGAUGCACAAAUUUUUGGAAUCUGGUACCAACAGGUAUAAACCCCCCCAGAACUACGUUUUCUUUCAAGCCUUUCAACCAAUCAAUGCGACCUCGUAGGGCAGCUUUUGCUAAAACUCGAGCAGUUUCUUGAAAACUUGCUUCAGAUAUGAAACUUUGGGUAUUUAGGGAAGCCCUUGUUAUUCCCAAUAAGAUUGCCCGAUAAUAGAUCGAUUCAUCCAAAGCUCGUCCUGCUCGUUCCGCUCGCAAUAGUCCGAUUAAUUCCCCAGGCGAGAAAACAUUAGACAUUCCAUCUUCGGAAACCCGCACUUUUGAUGUUACUUGGCGUAUAAUAAUCUCUAUAUGUCUAUUAUGGAUCUGUACCCCUUGGGAUCGAUAAACCUUUUGGAUUUUAUUAACCAAAGAGAUACUACUUUGGGCUAUGGUUAGCUCAGCUCCAAUCAAGAAUCCCCAAGGGACCCCAAGAAUUCUUGGUAUACGCUCAUUCCAAUCCUCAAUUCUCCUUUCGAGAUUCGGGGAUAAUGAAUCAAUUGAACGCGCUUCAAAGAUUUGUUCCACUUUUGGAAGACCUUGCGUUAUGUCACUAGAUCUUGAUUUUUCAUAUAUAAAUGUAACUAACCUAUCUCCCUUGUAAAGGAUUUCUCCAUAAUGACCAUUAACAGUUGCUCCUAUAGUGGCCAAAUAAGGUUUAGCUGCUCUUAUAACAAAGGAAUUCAUAUUUACAAUGAAAAUUUGACCGGAUUUUUUAUGUGCGAUUUAAAUAGACAUACAUUUUCACAAAUAAAUUGUCCAAGGUGAAUUAUUGCCAAUGUCUCUUCCCAAGAAUCAUGAUGGGCAAAGUGACAAUUCAAAAGGAAUGGAUCCAACAUUAUGUUACUAUCGAAAUUAGAAAUCCUUUUAUUUUCAUCUAUUAAAGAGUAUUUAAGUUCUUGAAGUACCUCGAAGGUUUGUUUUAAAUUGUCAACGAACAAAUAUUUUUUUAACAGGAUUUUAUUAUGCGUUAGUAAAUAGUAAGAUGAAGAAAAAUGCGAUAUACUAGCUACAAUAGCGCCUAAGGGCCCAAAAAUUUCUCGAAUAGGAAUUCUAGGAUUCCAUUCUUUUAUCGCAUUGGGAUGUUUUGAAUUCUUGAAUAAACCAAUUCGAGAACAGUUGGAUGCCGACAAAAUCAUCAAAGAGUGGUAUUCUUUAUUUCGAUCCAACAAAGUGCCAAUAGCUUCUGGAUGUUGGCUAAGUGAUUCAAUCUUCGCCUUGGAAUAAAAAGAAUUGAUAUUGGCGCGAUCUAACCUAUUAUGGGGAAUCGGUCCUGCACUUGUCCUACCAUACCUUUUUCAUGUAUACGAAAUAGUGGACUUGACUAAAUCAAUUCUUAGGAAAUCGCGAAUAAGAUCAUUUGCUCUUACCUCAACAAGGGAAGCACCAGCCUUUUCUUUUUCUUCUUGUUCCCAACUCACUACUAAGCAAGUUCUAACAAAUUGACUAUUUGUGUGAUAAAUUCUUUGAGUUAACUUGCUAUUUUCAUGAGAAAUAAAAUUGACAAGUCGAAUUUGGAGAUUAUUUUCUUCUUGCAAGAGAUCCUGCGGGAAAAGUGUUGCUAAAUUUCUUCCUUCGUCCAUUUCAUAUGCCACUGUAGGGCGAACGGAAACAAAAUACUUUUCCUUGCUCUUGAGAAUUUUUUUCCGUUGAACAUAGACCCAAUUUUUCCUUUUUUGAUUCCUUAGAAUCUUUUUUUUGUCUUUCUGGCGGUAUCAAACAGCCACCUAAUAUCUUAUCCGCCUCUUCAGGAAAAUGAAUAUCUCCGGAAAAUAUUUUGAGUUCCGUAUGGCUUUUUUUUUCUCUUCACUCGGACCAGUCCGCCUAGUCGACUUCUUGUAUUUUUUGUGAGUUGUGUAUCCACUCCAAUAAUACUAUUGUCAAGUAUGUUUAGGGAUGAAGAUCUCGGCAAGAUAUGAAGUUCUUGAAGAAUGAAAAAAAACCGAUCUACUUCUUUUUGGUAUUUUAGACUAAAUUCUUUUGUUCCUCGAUGCUCAAUCAAACCCUCUUUUUUUAAGAUGGAAUCUUCCUCUGGGCUCUCGUAUUCGUCCUCUGAAUCUUCUUCUGAGUCUUCCUCUAAAGUACCAUAUUUUUCCUCUGCGCUUUCCCCGGGGCUGCCAUAUUCGUCUUCUGAGUCUUCCUCUAGAGUACCAUAUUCGUCCUCUUGGGUCCUAUAUUUGCUCUCUGGGCUCCCAUAUUCCUCUUCCGAGACUUUCUCUAAAGUCCUAUAUUCGUUCUCUGGGUUCCCAUAUUCGUUUUCUGGGCUCCCAUAUUCGUCUUCUAGGGUUUCAUAUUCGUAUUCGUCUUCUAGGAUUCGAUAUUUAGAUUCUUCUAGGGUUUCAUAUUCAUAUUCGUCCUCUCGGGUCCUGUAUUCAUCUUCUAGGGUCUCAUAUUCCUCUUCUGAGUCUUCCGCUCGAGUCCUAUAUUCUUCUUCUAGGGGUCCUAUAUCUAAAUUUAACAAUUCCUGAACCCUUUUUAUCUUUUCUGUAUCGGGGAUCGUCAAAAUAAGCAAAUAUAGUAUUUCUACGUAAAACACCCAUAAGGGGGAUUUCAAUCGAAAUUCCAAAACAGGAUAUUAGUUCUUUCUCUUGUUCUUGAUGAUAUUGUAAUGGAAUGACGAACCUAUUUCUUCGCUUUUUCGCCAACAAAUCUGAAUUAUCUUGAAAAAUAGAAGGAUAGAUAAAAUUCCAAUGGCCAUUGGACAUGAUUCGAUCCGACGUUGAAUAAUCAAGAAUUUCCCUAUCUUUUUUACCAUAAGUAUUCAUUUGAUCUUGAUCCUUGUGGAGUGAAAAAGACGCUAUACUGGAUCUGCACAUACUUACUGACAAUAUCCAUAAAUGGCUUGUUUUUGGUAAUCGGCGAAGAUUACCAUAUUGAUAUUCGGGCGCAUGGUAAACAUCAGUACUCCAGUGCAUUUCGUCGUCUGAUUCAGAAUAAAUAUGCUUUUGUACCCUUUCUUUAAAAUGUAAAGUGGACGUUCCGGCACGAAUCUCCGCAAUUACUUGUUCGGAUUUUACAUAUUGAUCAUUUUGCACUAGAAUCAAGCUUUUUGAGGGAAUAUUCAUACUAUAUAGAAUAUCUUGACUCUGAAUAGUUACAUGCAAGUCUAUAUAACGUAGAAAAGCAGGCUGCCCAUGACGGGUACGUGUGGGGUGAACCAAAUUCUCAUUGAAUUUUAUUUUUCCAUUCGAAGGGGAUCGUACAAGGUCGGCAGUACCCCCUGUGAAUACUCCGCCAGUAUGAAAAGUUCUUAAUGUUAGUUGAGUCCCUGGCUCCCCAAUUGAUUGACCUGCAAUAAUACCUACGGCUUCUCCCAAUUCGACCAGAUCACUAUGAGUAGGACUCCGGCCAUAGCAUAAUUGACAGAUCCAAGAAGUGCUUCGGCAAGUAAAGGGGGUUCUAAUAUAUAUUGGUUGUGCUCGAAAUGGUUGUGCUCGAAAGGCAGUUAUGAAUCGAUUGACUAAUCCAAUUCCAAUAUCUUGAUUUCGCGCGGCAAUGCAUCGUGAACCGAUAUAUAUAUCGUCUGCUAAUACACGACCAAUUAGUGUUUGGACAAAAAGUUUUUCCGUCAUCCCAUUUUGAGGACUUACAGAAAUACCUCGGAUAGUACCACAAUCUCUUCUACGCACAAUAAUAUGUUGAACUACUUCAACAAGACUACGUGUAAGAUAUCCAGCAUCUGCUGUUCGCACAGCAGUAUCUAUAACCCCUUUGCGGGCUCCAUAGCAGGAAAUUAUAUAUUCUGUCAAAGAAAGUCCCUCGCGUAAAUUACUUUGAAUAGGUAAAUCAAUCAUUUGUCCUUGAGGGUCCGACAUUAAUCCUCUCAUACCUACUAAUUGGUGUACUUGAGAUGCAUUUCCUCUGGCUCCUGAAAAAGACAUUAGAUAGACUGGAUUAGAAGGAUCUGUUAUCCGAAAAUUUGAAUUCAUUUCUUGUUUCAAAUAUUCGCUUGUCGCAUACCAUAUCUCAACAGAUUGGCGUAAUUUUUCUACCACGUGUACAGCCCCAUAAUAAUAGUGUUUCUCCAAAAGAAAAAUAUGUUGUUCCGCGUCUUGGACUAACCAUCCCUUAGAGGGUAUUGUUAAAAGAUCCUCGAUUCCUAACGAAAUCGAUGUAGUAGUGGCUUGAUGGAAGCCCAGAGUCUUUAGUUGAUCCAGUAUAUGGGAUGUAUAUCCCAUUCCAAAAUGAUCUAUUAAUCUGCUAAUAAGUCGUUUCAUACCAGUUCCGUCUAUCUCUUUAUUAUGAAAGACCAGAUUGGCCCGUUCCGCCAUACAUAAGUACCCCCUUUUCGGCUGAGUAGGAUUCGACAAUUGCUGAGUAGGAUUCGACAAUGAGCCUGAGUCAGUGAUUCAAAAAUUUAAUUAACUUGCCUCAAUCUCAAUCUGGAUUCGCGUGGCAAAUAAUGAUGAUACUAGGGAAAUCGGAAUGCCCCCCGAAAGGGGAGGGGCAUCGCCGAAUCUAACUUUCUUGUUUAGGUAGUGUACGAAUAGGCCUGACUAAAUCCUUGUAUGGCUUCCUCUAUUUCUCUAUAAAAAGAAAUAUGACCAAGAGUGGUUCGAAUGUAUAUCGAACGAAUUUCUUUUUUUCUAUUUCCCAUUAUUAGAUAGUGGGCAUAAAUCUCAUGAUAAGUCCCCAAAGAUUCAUAUUGAACUUCAAUCGGAACUUCUCUUGACCCAAUGACGCGUUGAUCCAGGUUCCAUCGUAGCCACAAGGGACUAUCUAAACUGAUUAGUUUUUGUCUAUAAGCUCCCAGUGCAUCAUAAGAACUAGAAAAAUGGGGUUCUUUAUCUUUCCUAUAUUUAGAAUUAUUAUUAUUAUUGUAAUUUACUUUUAGAUUUGGGUAGUUUCUGUAACUAUUAUAUCUAUUUGCACAAAUACCUCGACGCUUUCCACUCGUUAAUACAUAAAGCCCGAUAAGCAUGUCUUGGGUUGGUACGCAAAUAGGAUCCCCAAUAGCGGGAGAUAAGAGAUUCAUAUGAGAAAACAUAAGUAAACGGGCUUCUGCCUGAGCUUCCAAGGAUAAAGGUAGAUGAACAGCCAUUUGAUCUCCAUCAAAGUCCGCAUUGAAACCCUUACACACUAAUGGGUGUAAAGAAAUAGUACGCCCCUCUACUAAAGUGGGUUGAAAGGCCUGUAUGCCUAAUCUAUGCAGGGUAGGUGCUCUAUUUAACAGUACAGGAUGUCCCCGCAUAACUUCUUGAAGUAUUUCCCAUACAAUGGGUUCUUUUUCCCAAAUUUUCCUUUUAGCAAUCCUUACAUUAGAAGUGGCGCGUUUCGUGAUUAAAUCGCGAAUUACAAAUAGCUGAAAAAGCUUUAUUGCUAUCUCUAGAGGUAAUCCAAUUGAUGUAAUGAAAGCGAAGGACCCACAACAAUGACAGAAUGCCCCGAGUAAUCGACCCGUUUCCCAAGCAGAGUCUCGCGAAACCUUCCCUCUUUACCUUCAAUUACAUCUGAAAGUGAUUUGUAUACUUUAUUGUGACCAUCCCUCGUCGGUUGCCCGCGGGACCCACUAUCAAGAAGUGUAUCCACGGCUUCUUGUACCAAUUUUUCCUGGCACAUUACUAAAUCUGCUGGCGCUAAUUCACUUCUUUUUAAUAGAUAGGCAAGAUUGUUGUUCCGACGGAUAACUCUCUUAUAAAGUUCAUUAAUGUCUGAAGUCACUACUUUAUCUCCAGACCUAUAAACAAUAGGUCUCAAUUCGGGAGGAAGAACCGGUAAUAAGCACAAAACCAUCCAUUCUGGUUCUACAUUUGUUUGAAUAAAAUGUUUCGCCAAUUGCAUGCGUCUAAUCAAAAAACUUUUCUUAUUCGUCUUUUUCUAUCUUCCCACUCAUCUCCACUAUACCCCUCGUCUUCUAAUUCCUUCCAUUCUACCAAAGAAUUCUCUAUAAUAAUUCGCAAAUCCAAAUAUGCUAAUUGUUCUCUAAUAGCACCUGCUCCUGUCGCAAUUUCCCGAUUUUGAAAUGUUGCAAAGCCUGGGGUAGAAAAAAAGGGAGAAAUGUUGUGGUUACAGGAUGCAAUUUCCUCUUCGAAUAAACCUCGUAAUCGUAAAGAAGUGGGUUUUUUAGUGCUGGGCCUAGCAAAAGAGAAAUCGCCGUAUACUAGGCCCUCCAACUUCUUAAGAGGUUUAUCUAAAAGAUUCGCGAUAUAACUAGGAAGGCCUUUCAAAUACCACACAUGAGUUACGGGACAUGCGAGUUUGAUGUAUCCCAUUUGAUAUCUUCGUAUCCGAGAAUCCACAAAUUCUACCCCACAUUUUUGGCAAAAUCUUUCGUCUUCGUUUUCAGCUCCGCUCGCUCGAGAAUUGCCACAAGCGCAAAUCCCGCUUUUUAUGGGUCCAAAGAUUCUUUCGCAAAACAAUCCAUCUUUUUCUGGUUUGUCGGUUUUAUAAUGAAAAGUAGAGGGCCUUGUGACUUCGCCAACGACUUCUCCAUUAGGUAGGUUUUUGUUAGCCCAAGCCUUUAUUUGUUGAGGGGAAACGAGUCCAAUUUGAAGUUGUUGAUGUUUAUAUUGGUCAAUCAUAAAAUAGAAAUAAGAAAAGAAUUUAUAUUUAUUCCGAUCAAACUUCCUCCCUAUUAACCUGGAAGUUCUUUUCAGAUACAAGGAAAUGAUUCAGUUCUAGAGCCAAAGAUCGUAGUUCUCGAACGAGCACUCGAAAAGAUUCUGGAGGAUCCUCAUGAUUAGGUAUUCUUUUUCCCCAGAUCGUAGCAUUAAGUAUUUCUUGGCGAGCUAUAAGAUGGUCAGAUUUAUAAGUAAGUAUCUCUUGUAAAAUAUGAGCAACACCAAAUCCUUCUAAAGCCCAAACUUCCAUUUCUCCUACUCGUUGUCCCCCUUGCUUGGCUCUUCCUCUAACCGGUUGUUGUGUAACAAGUGAGUAGGGCCCAGUAGAACGCCCAUGAAUUUUCUCAUCAACUUGAUGAAUUAAUUUUAAGAUAUAGGACUUCCCCAUUAGGUAGGUUUUUGUUAGCCCAAGCCUUUAUUUGUUGAGGGGAAACGAGUCCAAUUUGAAGUUGUUGAUGUUUAUAUUGGUCAAUCAUAAAAUAGAAAUAAGAAAAGAAUUUAUAUUUAUUCCGAUCAAACUUCCUCCCUAUUAACCUGGAAGUUCUUUUCAGAUACAAGGAAAUGAUUCAGUUCUAGAGCCAAAGAUCGUAGUUCUCGAACGAGCACUCGAAAAGAUUCUGGAGGAUCCUCAUGAUUAGGUAUUCUUUUUCCCCAGAUCGUAGCAUUAAGUAUUUCUUGGCGAGCUAUAAGAUGGUCAGAUUUAUAAGUAAGUAUCUCUUGUAAAAUAUGAGCAACACCAAAUCUUUCGUCUUCGUUUUCAGCUCCGCUCGCUCGAGAAUUGCCACAAGCGCAAAUCCCGCUUUUUAUGGGUCCAAAGAUUCUUUCGCAAAACAAUCCAUCUUUUUCUGGUUUAUCGGUUUUAUAAUGAAAAGUAGAGGGCCUUGUGACUUCGCCAACGACUUCUCCAUUAGGUAGGUUUUUGUUAGCCCAAGCCUUUAUUUGUUGAGGGGAAACGAGUCCAAUUUGAAGUUGUUGAUGUUUAUAUUGGUCAAUCAUAAAAUAGAAAUAAGAAAAGAAUUUAUAUUUAUUCCGAUCAAACUUCCUCCCUAUUAACCUGGAAGUUCUUUUCAGAUACAAGGAAAUGAUUCAGUUCUAGAGCCAAAGAUCGUAGUUCUCGAACGAGCACUCGAAAAGAUUCUGGAGGAUCCUCAUGAUUAGGUAUUCUUUUUCCCCAGAUCGUAGCAUUAAGUAUUUCUUGGCGAGCUUUAAGAUGGUCAGAUUUAUAAGUAAGUAUCUCUUGUAAAAUAUGAGCAACACCAAAUCCUUCUAAAGCCCAAACUUCCAUUUCUCCUACUCGUUGUCCCCCUUGCUUGGCUCUUCCUCUAACCGGUUGUUGUGUAACAAGUGAGUAGGGCCCAGUAGAACGCCCAUGAAUUUUCUCAUCAACUUGAUGAAUUAAUUUUAAGAUAUAGGACUUCCCUAUUAGAACAGGUUGCUCAAAGGGGUCGCCUGUUCUUCCAUCAAAUAUUCUGCUUUUUCCCGGGUACUCGGGUUCAAAUACCCAUGGAUUUUUUGUUUCUUUACUGGCUUCAUAUAAUUCUGAAAACACAAGUUUUCUUGAAGCCUCUUGCUCAUAUCUCUCAUCAAAGGGUGCUAUUCUAUAAUGUUUCUUUAGCAGAUCCCCCGCUAAUCCGAGCGAGCUUUCAAAUAUUUGUCCCACAUUCAUUCGGGAGGGUACUCCUAAGGUAUUGAAGACCAUAUCAACGGGUGUUCCAUCUUGCAAAUAGGGCAUAUCUUGCCUAGGCAAAAUUUUGGAAAUGAUCCCUUUAUUCCCAUGUCUUCCGGCUACUUUAUCCCCAACUUUGAUUUCACGUUUCUGUAAAAUAUAUACACGAACCAUUAUGUCGAGCGGGUCCCUUUGGAUCCAUUUCACAUCGAUAACGCGCCCUCUUCCACCUAUAGGUAAUUUCAAAGAAGUUUCUUUUGAAGUGGAAACCUCAAGGCCAAAUAUGGCCCGUAAUAAUCCAGCUUCCGCGAUAUAAGAUGAUUCGCUCGCUAUCUGAGGCGUUAAUUUACCUACUAAAAUAUAACCAGUUUCUACCCAGGAUCCCAACCUAACAACUCCAUUUCUGUCCAAAUUGCGUAGUAAAUGUUCUUCUAGAUGUGGUAUUUCUUUAGUGAUUUUUUCAGCGGAGCCCUGGCUUGUCGUAUCCGUCUGAAUUUCAUAUUUCCGGAUGUGAAAAGAGGUAUAAAUAUCUUCAUAUACCAAACGUUCGCUAAUUAGUACUGCGUCUUCAAAAUUGUAACCUUCCCAUGGCAUAUAAGCUACUAAUACGUUUUUUCCUAAAGCAAGUUCGCCCCCAACUGUAGCAGCUCCUUCUGCUAAAAUUUGUCCUUUUUUAAUGGAUUUACCUCGUGGAACCCGGGGUUUUUGGUGCAUACAAGUAUUUUUGUUAGAGCGACGGUGGUUAACUAAAGGAAUACUUAUAGUCUUCCCACUACUUGAUAAAAGUAUCUUAUGACUAUCAGUAGAAAUGAUCUUUCCCUCGCGUUCGGCUAUAAUGGAAACCCUCGAAUCUAGAGCUGUUUGGCGUUCCAAUCCAGUUCCAACAAUGCAUUUCUCGGACCGAGAAAGCGGAACUGCUUGGCGCUGCAUAUUAGAACUCAUUAAAGCCCGAUUCGCAUCAUUGUGCUCAAUAAAAGGAAUGAGAGAACCCCCAAUAGAAAAAUAUUGGAAAGGAAAAAUACUUCUAACAUGAAUCUGUUCCCAUGCAAUAGUCAAGAAUUCUUGACGGUAUCUAGCCGGAACAACCUGUUCUUCCUGAAUACCUUGAUUCAAGCACAAAGAAUUUCCUGCUGCUAUGAGAUAAUAUUCAUCUCUAUUUGGUGAUAGAUAAACCACCUGUCUCUCUUUUUUUUCUUUUGCUUUCUCAGCAGAUAUUUCAUAAAACGGACUCUCUAUGGAUCCCCACAAGUGAUCAAUUCUCGCAUGAAUUGCUAAGGAUCCAGUAAGUCCAACAUUGAUUCCUUCAGACGUGUCAAUUGGACAAAUACGCCCAUAGUGACUCGGAUGAAUAUCUCGGCUCCGAAAACUUGCGGUUCUCCCCGUCAACCCUCCAGGACCUAAACAACUCACUUUUUGCCCAUGAACAGUUUGUGUCAAUGGAUUCGUUUGAUCAAAAACUUGAGAUAACGGGUAUGUGCCAAAAAAGGUCUCAUACGUAGUUAUUAAUCAAAUUGAAGUUGAAGUUGGAGUUACCAAAGUUUGGGGAGUCGGUUUCGAUUGACGUAUGAAUACUCUACGAAUAGUUUUUUGAACUGCAUGUUGUAAACGACCAAGAGCCAAUCCGAAUUGAUCUUGUAACAGAUCUGCAACCGAACGAAUACGUUUAUUUUUCAAGUGAUUCAUAUCGUCAUCGUCAAGUAUACCCGUUCCAAAUUUCAUUCCAAUCAAAUGAUCCGUAGCGGCCAAUACAUCUCGUGGUAACAAGAAUGUAUUGUUCUGAGGUAUACCAAGAUUAAGUCUCCGAUUCAUAUUUCAUCGACCAAUCCUUCCUAAUUCACAUUUUUGUUGAAAAAAUUUCUUUUGUAAUUCCUCGCAUAAGGACUCCGAAAAUACCAGGUCCCCACCUACACAAGCAAAUUGUUGAUAAAACUCCAAAAUAGCUUUUUCUUUUGACUCAAUCCUCUUCUUCUCCUUAGCAUUCGGGAAAGACAAGAAAAUUUCAAGGUAGGAAACAUUAUCUAGAAUUUCUCUUAGAUUCGAACCCAUAGCUGAUGAUAGAACUAGAAUAGAUAUCUUUUGUUUUCUACUCACGCGAGCCCAUAUCCUUUCUUUUUUAUCAAUUGCUAAUUCCGAUCUGCCCCCCCCCCCAAUCUGAUAUUAUAGUGCCAGUGUAGAUAGAAAUUCCCUUAUGAUCUAAUUCCGAGCAGUAGUAAAUAGCAGGACUUAGCAAUAUUUGCUUGAUCACAAUUCGGUAUAUUCCAUUUAUAAUAAAGGUUCCUAAGGAAUUCAUUAUAGGAAUGUUUCCGAUAGAAAUGGUUUGCUUUUGCACAUCGAAACCAAAAAUUAAUCUCGCAGAUACAUAUAAUUCGGAAGAAUAGGUGAGUGAUUCAUACACAGCAUCUCUUUCUUUUAUCGAGGGUUCUAGCAAUUGAUAUUCUUUCGCAAAUAAUUGAAAUGCAAUUUCGUGAUCUGGAUCUUUAAUUGUUGGAAACUUGUCAAGUUCUUCUGCUAAGGCUUGAUUAAUGAACCUACAAAAUCCCUCGAAUUGGAUCUGACUAAAUCCGGGUAUUGUGGACAUUCCCUCGUUUCCAUUCCGGAGCAUCUUAAUCUUAUGUUUCCUGUUUAUCAAAGAAAAAUUCCAUUAUCAGCUCACUCUUCAUCAAUCCCUCUGGAUCGAUCUAGCAAUCAUGGAAUCUAUAUUCUGUUUACUGAAUCACAUGAAAUUCUAGGGAACUCCACAUACGUAUUUCAUAUAUGUAUUUCAUACAUAUGAAUAGAGACCAUUUGGACGAAAGUUCGAGUUUGCCAGGGGUACAAAUGAAAUGAAAAUGAAUUGAUAAAACAUUCCAAAAAACAAAAUUCUGCCACUUAUACUUUAUGUUAUGAUAUUCUAAUCAGAUUGGAUGGCAAAGAUUUCUCAUUUUAUCUCCUUUCUAUGAAUGUAAUAAAGCCGUAAUAUAAUAUACUAGAAACUUUGACUUUACUUCGAUUUAGAAUAGCGUGCUUACUUUAAUUUCUCAAAAUAAUUUGUGGGUUCUUUUUUAUUUCGGAUCGGAGUAGUAUAAUUGCUAGAAAAUUCAGUAUUUCAUUGUGGAAUUCUAAAAUCAAGUAAGUCCCUUUUUUAAGUACAUGCCAAUCUAGUUAUCCACCUCUCCCCAUAUCCAUGCUUUUCUUUUAUCGUAAUUUCACUUGGGUAGGCCAGUAAGGUUAUACUCUAUAUCAGAGCAAAUUUCCUUUUUUUAUUCAAGAUAUUUAAUUUAAUACUUUGAAGAAUUAAAGCAUGAUUCCCCAUAGAGAUAUGUACAUAAAGGGGAUCUUUGGAUAACAAUGCUGUUCGGACCUAAAGUUUACCUAUACACGGAUUAAGCAUAAAGUCAUAAUAUUUUAUUAUGCCAUUGAAGGGGGGGAGAUAAUACCGAUUUAAGAGUAGUUCACUACUGCAAUAAAAAAAAAGAUAAUUCUAGUUAACGGUUCCAAUUUAUUCUGAAUUUUGCAACCUGUGAAUAGAAAUCCACUUUUUCUUCUUUUUCAUCUCAAUAGAAAGAAAUGGGAAGUUUUAUUGUGUUAACAAUGUAUGUUUUAAGAUAGAAUCUAUCGAGGAGAAUAAUAGAAACUGGAUCAAAAAAAGCAGGAAUAGAUGUUUUGAAAAAGAUUGGAAAAAGUAAGUAGAAUUAUCUUCAAAAUAAAAGGGGCUUUUCGUAAGAAAACGUGGAUGAAUACUUGCUGUUUUCUAGAUUUUUGAUCGGAUUUUUUGGCGGCAUGGCCAAGCGGUAAGGCAGGGGACUGCAAAUCCUUUAUCCCCAGUUCAAAUCUGGGUGCCGCCUGAUCAAUAAAAUACUUAGGUUUUUUUAUAGUGCUGAUCGAAUUCGAUCAAUUUUUACUUCGCAUAAGUUCGGGCAAGAGAGUAACUGGGCCUGCCGAUACUGGGUUUAGAGAAACCAUACCAUAGUUCUAUCCUCAAACUAGGGUUAGGGUUUGUUUUGACGGUAGUGGCCAAAAUGGUUAUCAAUAGGGGAGAGGUAGUGUUUCCUUAUUCUUUUAUUAUAUGAAUUUGAAUUGGUUCUUAAUUGAGAUUCGAUUUGAUAAUUUUAAAAUACGAGGAUAAGAUGUCAGAAAUCUUGGUAUCCAAAGAAAGGUCCCUAAGGGGCAUUCUUUUUUUUCAAUCUAGGAUUCAAGAAGGGACUCCACGAAAGAAUAUCAAGACUUACUAAUUAUUAUACAUUUUUUAAUCGUACAUCUUAUGUUACCUACAUACACUAAAGUAAGGACUACUUAAUUCUAACGAGAAUCAGAUUAAAUAGGUCGAUCAAAAAUCAAUUUAGGAGUAGUGUUAUGGAUAAAAUCUCUUCCUCUUCAUUCUUUCAUAGAAUGAUACAAAGCAAGGCUGCAGGGUUUAGGUCAAAAAUAAACAUUAGGUAAGGUAGGUAUCCAAUAAAUAUUUAUCUAUUGUUAAUUUUAUGGUAUAUUCGGGCGUCCUUUGCUUAAAAAAAAGAGUAACAAAAGGAAUAAAAAAUCUUCCUAUUCCCGCUUCUUCUAUUUAGGACAUCAUUCCCGUACUCUUUCUUUUUUACGGAAAAAAGGGCUAUAGUAUCGUAUUUUUAAUGCUCUCUAAUUCUACCAGAAUUCCUAUAAGAAUUUGUUAGGAGUAAAUUCCUUGAACUGAUUGAUCCAUGGCCUUAGGGUGGAAUCCCUUUUUAACUCUGUACCCUUGAUUCCACUAUGAUUAUUGAUCAAUAGUAGAAUAGAAUAAUCCCUUCAUAGAAAUAGGAGACAUAAUUUAGAUGGAUAUAGUAAGUCUCACUUGGGCUGCUUUAAUGGUAGUCUUUACAUUUUCUCUUUCACUAGUAGUAUGGGGAAGGAGUGGACUCUAGGGAUCCUACUAAUUGAUUAAGUGAUCAAAUUGUUGUAUCAAUUCUUUUCAUUAAUGGAUCAUUUUGCAUUAAUCAUUUUGUCAAACGUUAUUCUUUAAUCUUUUUCUUUAGUUUUGUUUCACUCCUGUAAGAAACUCUUGUAUUGUAAGUUGUAAUGUAAGAAAGAGCCAUUAUACCAAUUCAUAAUUUCUACUAGAAAUGACGAAUGGUUAAAAAAAGUUCUAUACAUAAGAAAAUUAGACUUUCUUCCACGGAACUAUUCACGGCAUAUCACACAUUUUCCAUUUCCUUUUACUUUUUACUAUAGUCUAUUCUUAAUAUUAUUUUUCUUUCCUUCCAUGGAUUCUUUGGUCAAGAAUUGUCUUAGAUUUUUUAUUUUGACCUGAUUGAAAUUAAGUGGAUGCAAUGAAAAAAGAAAUUGAAUUAGACUACUUAACUAUUUCAAUCUACUAAUCUAUUCUAUGUAGAUUCAAAGAUAAUAUAAUAGAAAGAAUCUAAAGUGUCGUAGAAAAAACUAUAUGUAGUUCUUUCUACCACAGUUUAAGAUUCCAACCAGAUCCUUUCAUUUAAGACUUGGAUUUUUUUAUUUAAUCCCUUUUUAAUUUCUUCAAUGAUUAAUUGGAAUUCCAAUUAAUUAUUUUGGCUGACUGUUUUUACAUAAAUAAUAAGUAAAAAAGAAGUAGGAACUACAAUGAACAGUGCAGUAGCAAUAAAUGCGAGAAUAUUGACUUCCAUAACCUCUUUAUUUUUUAUUUUCACAAUAACUCGGGAUGUAAUCCCAUGGAGAGGGAAAAGGGGUAUGUUGUAAAUUCAAGGGUAGGGCUUGCAUUCUGAUAAUACUAAAUCAAUUCAAUAUUAUGAAUAUCGGAUCUAUCAAAUCAAUUCAUGGAUGAGAGUUAUAUUUCACGGAUGAGAGUUAUAUAGUAUAACAUAGGAAGAUCCUCUAUCCACACUAAGACCAAAAUGGGUUUUUUGAUUGGAUUAGGAAUUCCCUCUUUUUUAAUCCUUUUCUACUUUUUCUUUUCUAUAUCUCUAACCCACGAGCUUUUUUAAUCUUCUACUUUCUUAAUAUUAUACAAUUUCCCUUCCUUUUUCUUAUAGUUAUACAUACAAUUAUGUAUGUAUUAUAUGACCAACUUUCUAUGGGUCACAUUGACAUCCAAAUAAGCAGUAGAAGUGAGAUGGGGAAAAGAGGUCUGAAAUAAAAAGGGAAUACGAUUUAUGUAUGGAUUCCGGUAAAAUACCGGUACUCUAUUCCAUAAGAGUGGAAUAGGAAAUUAAGAUGAGGAUGGUAUCAUCAUAAAGAAACAUAGAGUAAUAUAAUAUCCUAAAUUCUACUAAUCCACAUAUCGUAUGUGUGUCUUUCUUUAUCUUUAUCGAUCGGGAGUAGUGAAAAAAAAUUCCUAUAUGCCUUCCCUCCCUCUUUAAUGAGGGAUGCAAAAUAAAAAAGUGAAGUAAGGGUGCCCUGUGGGUAUUUGAUCUUGCUCCCUGCCCCUUUUUUCAUGGAAAAAGGAAAUAUCACUUUCUCCAUUCAUUGAACCCUAGUUCGGGACUGACGGGGCUCGAACCCGCAGCUUCCGCCUUGACAGGGCGGUGCUCUGACCAAUUGAACUACAAUCCCCGCGGGUAUAUGGCAUACCCAUUCUUAAAUAGAACCAUAAGAAGAUUCGAUUCGUCUUUCGUACUCUAAGAAAUAGACGAAUCAUAUACUACAUACCCACAUAUUAUAUUAUACGUGGGUAUAGUGAGAGUGACAUAACUAGUAUGUCGUGAUUUUUUAUCACUAAAAAUGGAUAAUAAUCCAGCCUUCAAUAAGAAAAACUCUUUUGUUUGUAAGAAAGGAAUGAGAGAGAUAUGGAUUAGAAAAAAAAUUCCCUUUUUUCUUUAUCUUUUAUUUCUAUAGAUCAGACAUUUUAUUUUAUGGAAGGAAAACAAAAGGAUUUAGUUCAUACUCACGAAGCCCUAGAUUUCUGGUUUGGGCCGAGCUAGAUUUGAACCAGCAUAGACAUUGUCAACGAAUUUACAGUCCGUCCCCAUUAACCACUCGGGCAUCGACCCAGGAAGAAUUUAUUCUAGGGUUUUUACUAAUCUAUGAUUAACCUCCUUUCAUAAUACUCCCUACCCCCAGGGGAAGUCGAAUCCCCGCUGGCUCGUUGAAAGAGAGUUGUCCUGAACCACUAGACGAUAGGGGCAUCACUAGACGAUAGGGCCAUAUACAACCGCUCGUGAUUAUACUAUAAUCAUAGUAUGAGCAGUUUUUUGGAAUUGUCAAUAUACUCGAAAAGUAUAAAUAGAUCCAAAGCAAAGAGUUUUUCCAACUUUUCUGUGAUGUUUUCAUCUAGGAUUUUUUUUAGUUGAUUUUUAUAGAUUAAUUCUCCGUGCUUCAUUUAGUGUUCAGACCAAAAAUGCAUCCAUCCCGCACUAAGUCAUAAAAUUCUCUAAAAAUAUAGAGAAAGUUUCAAAAACAAAGAACAAAAGUGAAUCAAUUUAGUAGAAAAGUACUCUAUCAGAUUCGAACCAACGACUUACGUCUUAGCACGAGAUUACUCUACCACUAAUUUAAAAAUCCCUUUAUCGGAUUUGAACCGAUGACUUAUGCCUUACCAUGGCAUUACUCUACCACUGAGUUAAAAGGGCUUUUUAUUUAAUUCAAAAAUUAGCCACUUGGAUUUCCCAUUAUGGGUCUACUGCAUAAUGUACAUAUUAUAUAUAUAAUAUAUAGAGAUAGAGAGAGAGACAUUAUGUAGAGAUUGUAUAUGUAUAUAUCGAUAUCUUGAGAGCUCAAAAUAAAAUUAAUAAAAAAAACAUACCCUACAUAACAUAUCCAACUCUUCUUGGUUCAGGGUUUUCCGUUUCCGAAGACUAGUAAAAUAGGCGGAUUCUGGAACCCCAAGGAUUCAACGGUAUAUGGAUAUGGAAAAUAUAAGAUUUCAGAUCCUAGCGGGAAAAGGCGGGGAACAGAUACCCAAUAGGAUAUAGGAUCCUUGGGAGGAACUUUUGGUAAUGGCCUUGAUCCUCUAUGCUAUUUUUUAUGUGUUCUGUAACGCCCGGGGAAUCAAGCUACAGUAAUUCCCCGCUAAUCAUGCCACGUCACCUCGGUUACUGUUGUUAACCGUGGGAUGAUCCAAAACCGUUUCAAAAUUCAAAUUUAAAUUAAUGCCGACAGAAAAGGUUUUUCAAAAAUUGAAACAAAAUGUCCGGUGGGUGCCAAAUAUUACAAGGGUAAUUAUACUAAAGAAAACAUAUUUUUAUAAAAUGCCUAAAUGCGUUUAAAUGAAUUAAAACAGAAAAGAAAAUAAAUAAAUAAAAAGAAAAUACAAAAGAAAACAGAACAAACAAAAAAAGAGAGAAGGAGAAGCCCCCCCCACUGGACCCUGGCCCAACUGGGCCGACCCCAGGCCCAGCCGGCCUGGCCCACCUCCCGGGUCGCCUUCCCCCCUGUUCCCCCGACCGGGGUCGCAACAGGCGCGUCCCCGCCGGACCCCCCUUCGCCGGCGUCGAGGAUAAGNNNNNNNNNNNNNNNNNNNNNNNNNNNNNNNNNNNNNNNNNNNNNNNNNNNNNNNNNNNNNNNNNNNNNNNNNNNNNNNNNNNNNNNNNNNNNNNNNNNNNNNNNNNNNNNNNNNNNNNNNNNNNNNNNNNNNNNNNNNNNNNNNNNNNNNNNNNNNNNNNNNNNNNNNNNNNNNNNNNNNNNNNNNNNNNNNNNNNNNNNNNNNNNNNNNNNNNNNNNNNNNNNNNNNNNNNNNNNNNNNNNNNNNNNNNNNNNNNNNNNNNNNNNNNNNNNNNNNNNNNNNNNNNNNNNNNNNNNNNNNNNNNNNNNNNNNNNNNNNNNNNNNNNNNNNNNNNNNNNNNNNNNNNNNNNNNNNNNNNNNNNNNNNNNNNNNNNNNNNNNNNNNNNNNNNNNNNNNNNNNNNNNNNNNNNNNNNNNNNNNGAGCGCGGUCGCCGACGUGCCGCCGUCGUUCCCGCGGCCACCGAGCCCCGCUCUCCUCCCCGACGUGUCCACGAGCUCCGCCGCGUCGAGCCCGUCCUCCCCGACCACCUGCUCGAGCCGGGACCCCCUACAUCACCCCCAACGCCGUCGCCUUCUUCCUCGGGUCGCCGCCGUCUUCUUCGACUCCGGCGACUGCUGCUGCUACUAAGCCUCUCACCGGCCUCCGUCUGCCGCGCGGUGAGCUCCUCUACCUCCUACCCUUCUCCGUUUGCUCUCGCGCGAACCUUAGCUAGCUCUCACGACGAGGCCAAACGCGUCGCCACGGAGCUCGCCGCCGACGCGUCUCCAGUGACGGUUUGGUCACGGGCCCGUACCCAUUAGACUCGCCGCACCACGUAGUUCCUCCCCAGCCUCCUCUUUUGCUCAAUAGCGUGCUGCCUCGCCGUUUCCGUCUUCGACCAAAGCCGCUCCGCCGCUGGCCUCGACGCCGGCGCCGAUUCCAGCCAACUCCGGCGACGCCACCACCGCUGUUCGAUGUGCGUUGCUCCGCUCGUUCGAACGCGCCCUCGCGCGCGCGAAAUGGUUGCCCGUAGGCGAAAUCCGACGAGGUCCGAAGCCCUCCGCUGUGUUUGGCGUCACCGGCGACGUGCCGCCGGCCGCCGCUGACGUGGCACACCUAGGGCGACCCCGGGUCACUGCCAGCGGGCCCCGCGGGCCCCGUUGACUGGGUUGACCCAGUCAACGUGCUGACUGGGCGUCUCUGUGACGCUGACAUGCGGGCCCCGCCGCGUAAAUAAACUAAAUAAAAUGUUUUUAUAAAAUAAAACUAAUUAAUUAAUCUAAAUAGGCACUGACAGGUGGGGCCUACCUGCUAAUAACCUUGUUUAAGUUAGUUAUAAAACUCUGUUAGUGCCCUGUCAAUGACAUGUGGGUCCCACUGGACCCACCGGUCUGGUUUGACUGGUCAGCCGACCUGUUGACCUGCUGACAUCAGCGUUACCUCAUGCUGACGUCAUAAUUCAUUUUUGCUAAAUUCAAAUAAUUCCAGAAAUUCAAAUAAUCUUUGAAAAUUCAUAUCUUUUAAACCGUAACUCGGAUGAAAAUGUUUUCUACAUGAAAGUUGCUCAGAACGACGAGACGAAUCCGGAUACGCAGUCCGUUCGUCCAUCACACCUCCCUAACCUAUCGAACUCGCAACUUUCCCCCUUCGGUCCAUCUGUCCGAAAACGCAAAACAUCGGGAAUACUUUCCCGGAUGUUCCCCCCCCCCCUCGCCGGUACCACCUACUGUCGCGUUAGGACACACCUCGCACUGCUCAUUGUCAUGUCAUGCAUCGUCAUGUUUAUGUUUGCAUUGUAUUUACUGUUUCUUCCCCCUCUUCUCUCCGGUAGACUACGAGACCGACAUUGCUGCUGCCUAGUUCGACUACGGAGUUGACGACCCCUCCUACUUGCCAGAGCAACCAGGCAAGCCCCCCCCCCUUGAUCACCAGAUAUCGCCUAUUCUUCUCUAUACUGCUUGCAUUAGAGUAGUGUAGUAUGUUACUGCUUUCCGAUAUCCUAUCCUGAUGCAUAGCCUAUCCUUGCUACUACUGUUGUUACCUUUACCUGCAAUCCUACAUGCUUAGUAUAGGAUGCUAGUUUUCCAUCAGUGGCCCUACAUUCUUGUCCGUCUGCUGUGCUAUACUAUCGGGUCGUGAUCACCUGGGCGGUGAUCACGGGUAUAUACUUAUAUACUAUAUACAUGACACAUGUGAUGACUAAAGUCGGGUCGGCUCGUAGGAGUACCCGCAAGUGGAUCUUUGUGGCGGAGCGACAGGGCAGGUUGAGACCGCCUAGGUGAGAGGUGGGCCUAGCCCUGGUCGGCGUUCGCGGAUACUUAACACGCUUAACGAGAUCUUGGUAUUUGAUCUGAGUCUGGCCAUUUGGUCUAUACGCACUAGCGAUCUACGCGGGAGUAGUUAUGGGUAUCCCGGCGUCGUGGUAUCAGCCGAAGCCUUCUUGACGUCAGCGACUGAGUGGCGCGCGCCGGAUUGGACUGGAACGCCACUAGGCUAGGUCUGCUUCCGGCCGCGUACGCAACGUGCAGGUGUGCAUAGGCCGAUGGGCCCAGACCCCUGCGCGCAUAGGGUUAGACCGGCGUGCUGACCUCUCUGUUGUGCUUAGGUGGGGCUACGACGUGUUGAUCUUACGAGGCCGGGCAUGACCCAGAAAAGUGUGUCCGGCCAAAUGGGAUCGAGCGUGUUGGGUUAUGUGGUGCACCCCUGCAGGGAAGUUUAUCUAUUCGAAUAGCCGUGUCCCUCGGUAAAAGGACGACCCGGAGUUGUACCUUGACCUUAUGACAACUAGAACUGGAUACUUAAUAAAACACACCCUUCCAAGUGCCAGAUAUAACCCGGUGAUCGCUCUCUAACAGGGCGACAAGGAGGGGAUCGCCGGGUAGGAUUAUGCUAUGCGAUGCUACUUGGAGGACUUCAGUCUACUCUCUUCUACAUGCUGCAAGAUGAAGAUGGCCAGAAGCGUAGUCUUCGACAGGAUUAGCUAUCCCCCUCUUAUUCUGGCAUUCUGCAGUUCAGUCCACUGACAUGGCCCUUUACACAUAUACCCAUUGCAUAUGUAGUGUAGCUCCUUGCUUGCGAGUACUUUGGAUGAGUACUCACGGUUGCCUUUCUCCCUCUUUUCCCCCUUCCUUUCUACCUGGUUGUCGCAACCAGAUGCUGGAGUCCGGGAGCCAGACGCCACCGUCGACGACGACACCUACGACACUGGAGGUGCCUACUACUACGUGCAGCCCGCUGACGACGACCAGGAGUAGUUAGGAGGAUCCCAGGCAGGAGGCCUACGCCUCUUUCGAUCUGUAUCCCAGUUUGUGCUAGCCUUCUUAAGGCAAACUUGUUUAACUUAUGUCUGUACUCAGAUAUUGUUGCUUCCGCUGACUCGUCUAUGAUCGAGCAAUUGUAUUCGAGCCCUCGAGGCCCCUGGCUUGUAUUAUGAUGCUUGUAUGACUUAUUUAUGUUGUAGAGUUGUGUUGUGAUAUCUUCCCGUGAGUCCCUGAUCUUGAUCGUACACAUUUGCGUGCAUGAUUAGUGUACGGUCAAAUCGGGGGCGUCACAAGUUGGUAUCAGAGCCGACUGCCUGUAGGAAUCCCCCUUUCCACACUCCUUGGCCGAAGUCGAGUCUAGACAUUACAAAAACUUUUACUAACAUGGCUGUGUGUCUUACGGGCCCACGUCGCCAUUGGGUGGUACUAGGAUCUUUUACUCCUCGACCUUUACUAUGGGACUCUGAACUUUCUUCUACUCGGGUUAAACGAAUUUACUAACUCUAACACUAGGAUCCCGUGACCGCAUUCACCCCGAAGUUGGAUAAGCCAUAGUUGUUUCUUAGGAUAGUAUUUUGAACAAUUCACACACUGACAUUUGACUCCUUUGAAACGUCUUUGCUUUCAGAUGGAACCCACGAGGCAGGUCGUGCGCCACACGACGGCCAUUGGUGCCUCGGGAUCACCGGUUGUGCUACCUGAGAUGAUGACCUAUCUGGGUUAUCGCUGGCACCCUGAGUACACCGUCUACGAGGAGUACCAGGACUUUAACCAGGAGCAGUACCGUGCCAUCGUCCACCUCUACUCGCGGGAGUAUGACUCCACUACUGUGCUGCACACCGCACAUGGUGUUGGUGUGACCAUCGAUAUGGCUGUCCACGGUGCUGCCUAUGCUGCUCUGACACGUCUUCGUGGAGAGUAUCGGGAGUUGGACACCUCCCCUUUCAGGCACAUUGCUAUCGCAUCUGAUGUUGGUGCGGAGGGAUACUAUACUGCUGCCUACUCCACUGUCACCCGAGAGCCCUUCUACCAUCAGAACCUGGUUCUGCAUGCUGAUGGGCUGGAUCGUGCUAACCGAGCUCUUCGCCACGAGAUGUACACCACCCGUCAGCACAUUUACCGUGCUCUGACGCUGAUGCACCCCUUUGUCCGGUCUGGACAGCUACUGCAUACUGCGAUCUACCCAGCCAGGACUGUGAUGCCCCACGGUGUCGGUUGGCCAGAGGUGGGAGGCUACUCUCCCGCACUUGGUCCUCUUCUGCCACCUGAGCGUCGGGCUCUACACCUGAGUAUCCGCGGCCCCCAGUCUGCUGACGUGGAGGGCUAUCCGUUGCCUCACUACCAGCUGUCGGGCUACGAUUACCUCCACAGUACCUCUUGGGACUGAUGUAGGCUUGCUUGUAGUGUUAGAUGCAUUCGCCGCGAGCCUGUGUGCCGCCUAUGAUGUUUUAUUCUAUGUACUGAACUCUAUGCAUGACCCCUUUUGUAAGUUAUGCCGACUACUAUGUAGUAGCUAUCGUGCUCCUUUCGUUAUGCAUGUUUCAUCAUGAAUGAUUCUUGUCUUUGCAAAUAUUUCUCAAUGUUGAACUACCCCUGUUAUAUAUUAGCAGGAUGGUUAGACCAGGUGGUCGUGGUCGUGGUGGCGAUGCCCCACCACCACCUGAGUACAUGGCUGGUAUGAUCCAACAGUUUGAACUGAACCGCCAAUUCAUGGAAAAUAUGAUGGCUCAGUUUCCUCGCCCCAAUAUGAACCAGCAGCCAGCCCAAGUGACUCUUCAAGAUUUCAUACGCCUCAACCCAACCAUCUACCGCAGCUCAACUCAGCCUCUGGAUGCUGAUGACUGGCUCCGUGACAUCACCCAUGAGAUGGAGUCUGCUGAUGUAGCCCCUGCCAGCUAUGUCACCUUUGCUUCCUUCUUCUUGAAGGGACCCGCAGCUCAAUGGUGGGACAGCCACAGGCGUACUCUGCCAGCUGGAACAAUCAUCACAUGGCCAGACUUCCAAGCAGCUUUCCGUGCCCGCUUCAUUCCUCAGGGAGUCAUGGACCGGAAGAAGCGUGAGUUCCGCAACCUCACCCAAGGCAACAAAACUGUUGAAGCUUAUCAAUGGGAGUUUCUGGACUUGUCUCGCUAUGCUGAAGAGGACAUUGCAACUGAUGCACGCAGACAGGAGAAGUUCCGUGAUGGCCUCCAAGCUGACAUCAAGCUCGCACUUCUAGUGCAUGACUUUGCUGAUUUCGCCACCUUGGUGAACAAGGCCAUCAAUGUCGAAACUGGUCUGCAGGAAUACCAGAGCUCUCACAGGCGCAACCGUGACACAGGCUCAUCUUCGGGCUCGCCCUCACAGAAGCGUAAGAUAUGGAUCCCGAACAGCAUGUACCGUCCAAAUGCAUCUGCCCCAAGGCAGACCUAUGCUGCACCUCGUCUGCCUCCACCACCAUCUAGGCAGUCAAGACUUCCAGCUCCACCAUCCCAAGCUCCUGUUCCCACUCCCAAUAAUGGCUUGUGCUUCAGGUGUGGUCAACCAGGACACCGUGCUAGAGAAUGCAACCAGAACCAGAAUCAACUGGCCCUUCCAGCAACUGGCCGUGGUAACAAUCAGCCCCGCAACAACAAUGCUAAGUCUUAUGGUCAUGCUCAUGCCAACCACGUUGAUCUCAACGAAGCUCAAGACCAGCCUGCUACUGUGAUGGGUACACUCCUCGUAAAUUCAGUACCAGCAUCCGUUUUAUUUGAUACAGGUGCAUCGCAUUCAUUCAUGUCAGAAGAUUUUGCAUACAAGCACGACGUUAAAUGUGAGGAGAUGAACACCUCGGUACUGGUCAAAACCCCCGUGGGAUAGUGUCAAACCUCCCUGGUUGGCAUCGAUGUCCCCGUGGAAAUCGAAGGGCUGGAAUUCUAUGCCUCCCCCAUUAUCCUGAAGUCGUCUAACAUCGACCUCAUUUUGGGUAUGGACUGGUUGAAAGCGCAUACUGCUUCUAUAGUUUGCGCCACUAAGACCGUCCAUCUACUUCACCCUUCAGAUGAAAUAGUUGCUUACCAAGCUCAUCUGGUGCAAAAUGCCGAGGCCAGGCUCUAUGCAUUGAAUGCAUUGAACGCUGCACCACUCGAGGGCAUUGAAAACAUUCCCGUCGUGCGUGAAUUCCUCGACGUCUUCCCUGAAGAACUUCCAGGGAUUCCCCCUGCUAGAGCUGUCGAAUUCAUCAUCGACUUGAAACCGGGCACCACUCCUAUAGCCAAGCGACCUUACAAAAUGCUGCCGCAUGAACUCCUUGAGCUUAAGGAGGAAAUCGACAAAUCUCUUCGCAAAGGAUUCGUUCGCCCAAGUUGUUCUCCUUGGGGAGCACCUUCUCUCUUUGUCAAGAAGAAGGAUGGGACAAACCGGUUAGUUCAAGACUACCGUCCUAUAAACCAAGCUACCAUUCAGAAUAAAUACCCUCUUCCUCGGAUCAAUGAUCUGUAUGAUCAACUGGCGGGUUCGUCAGUGUUCUCUAAGCUCGACCUGAGAUUGGGUUACCACCAGAUCCGUGUUCGCGAAGAGGAUAUCCCAAAGACCGCCUUCGUGACUCGCUAUGGUUCAUACGAGUACACCGUCAUGUCUUUCGGUUUAACCAAUGCUCCAGCCACCUUCUCUCGUCUGAUGAACUAUAUAUUCAUGGAUUACCUCGACAAGUUCGUCCUGCUUUAUCUGGAUGAUAUCCUGGUAUUUUCCAAGAACGAAGAAGAACAUGCUGAACAUCUUCGACUUGUGCUGGAAAAGCUAUGAGAACAUCAACUAUAUGCCAAGUUCUCCAAAUGUGAAUUCUGGCUACCGGAAGUAACCUAUCUUGGGCAUGUCAUCUCUAAGGAUGGUAUUGCCGUCAACCCCGAGCGAGUUCAGGCUAUUCUCGAUUGGACUCCUCCGAAGAACGUUAAGCAAGUCAGAAGUUUUCUCGGUCUCGCCAGCUAUUGCCAUCGAUUUGUCGAGAACUUCUCCAAGAUCGCCAGACCUCUGACUAACCUGUUGCUUAAGGGCGUCAAGUUCCAAUGGACAGACAAAUGUCAGGAAAGUUUCCAGGCACUCAAAGACAAGUUGACUUCUGCCCCAGUUCUAGCUCCACCGGAUACUAAGAAGGACUUCGUCAUUUACUGCGACGCUUCCCGUCAAGGAUUAGGCUGUGUCCUAAUGCAAGACCGCAAAGUGAUUGCUUAUGCCUCUCGGCAAUUGCGCCCUCACGAAGAGAACUACCCAGUUCACGACCUCGAACUUGCUGCUGUCAUUCAUGUGCUGAAGCAGUGGCGACAUUACCUUCUCGGUAAUCGUUGCAAGAUCUUCACUGACCACCAAAGUCUGAAGUAUCUGUUUACUCAGCCAGAUCUGAACCUCCGUCAGCAGAGAUGGAUGGAGUUUGUUGCAGACUUUGACUUGGGUAUUUCCUAUACGCCAGGCAAGGCUAAUGUAAUGGCUGAUGCCUUGAGCCGCAAGUCUUACUGCAACGACCUCCAGGUUCACAAAGUUCAGCCCUCGCUUGUUGAAGAAUUCAGGAAGCUGAACCUCCAUAUUGUUCCUCCGGGUGCACUCGCUCCCCCUCCUAAGGAGUUUGGCAAGGUGAACCUCCACGUUGUUACCCAGGGUUCCCUUAAUACCCUAGUUGCUAAACCAGAUCUCGUGGAUAGCAUCAAAAGGCUAUAGAAGUAUGACUCUGAAGCCCACAAGAUUAAGCGCUACCUCGCAGAAGGAAAGCCCUCAUUCUUCACCAUUGCUGAAGAUGGCACCCUAUACUUCAAGGGCCGCCUAGUGGUGCCAUGUGCAGAGAAAAACCUGGAUAUGACACAGGAAGUUAUGAAAGAAGCUCAUGAUACGCCUCUAUGUAUCCACCCUGGUAGUACAAAGAUGUACCAAGACAUCCGUCAGAGAUUCUAGUGGUCUAAUAUGAAACAAGACAUUGCUCGUUAUGUUGCUGAGUGUGACGUUUGCUGUCAUAUCAAAGCAGAACAUCAAAGGUCUGCUGGAACUCUGCAACCUAUCUCUAUUCCUGAAUGGAAAAUGGGACCAUGUUGAGAUGGACUUCGUCACUGGAUUUCCCAAGUCAUAGAAAGGUAAUGAUGCUAUUCUUGUCGUCAUUGACCGGCUUUCCAAAGUUGCACAUUUCCUGGCGGUCAAGGAAACGAUCACUGCUAGUCAACUGGCAACGCUCUAUAUGUCCAGGAUUGUUUCACUCCACGGUAUUCCAUUGGUUAUCAGCUCAGACCAUGGUAGCUUAUUCACUUCAAGAUUCUGGGCAAGUUUCCAAGAAGCUAUGGGAACUCAUCUGUCAUUCAGUACUGCGUUUCAUCCUCAAUCGCAAGGGCAAGUUGAACGCGUCAACCAAGUUCUCGAAGACAUGCUUCGAGCUUGUGUUAUUUCCUUCGGCAAGAAAUGGGAGGAAUCUCUCCCGUAUGCUGAGUUCUCUUAUAAUAAUAGCUAUCAAGCUAGUCUGAAGAUGGCCCCCCUCGAAGUGUUAUAUGGACGAAAGUGCCGAACCCCUCUGAACUGGUCAGAAACUGGGGAACGUCCACUCUUUGGUCCGAAUAUUAUCCAAGAUGCCGAAGAACAAGUCCGCAUUAUUCGUGAGAAUCUCAAGACUGCUCAAUCACAUCAGAAGAGUCAGUAUGACUGUCAUCAUAAAGACAUGGUCUAUCAACCUGGCAAAAAGGCUUAUCUUCGAGUCACACCAAUGAAGGGUGCUCACCGCUUCGAACUCAAGGGCAAACUAGCUCCUCGCUAUAUUGGCCCAUUCACUAUUCUCGAAAGGCGUGGAAAAGUGGCAUACCAACUGGAGCUACCGCCGAACCUUUCUCAGGUUCACGAUGUGUUCCAUGUGUCACAGCUCCGCCGUUGCUUUAAGGAUCCAACCCGAGCAGUGGAUCAUGAAGUUCUCGAAUUGCAGCAAGACCUCUCCUAUAAGGAGCAUCCGGUCCGCAUUCUCGACCAAGCUGAACGCCGCACACGUCGGAAGGUGAUCAAGUUUCUCAAAGUCCAGUGGUCGCACCAUUCUGAAGAUGAAGCCACUUGGGAACGAAAGGAUCGUCUGCGCGAAGAAUACCCCGCACUGUUUCCUUCUACCUCCUAAAUCUCGGGACGAGAUUUCUUGUAGUGGAGGAGAUUUGUAACGCCCGGGGAAUCAAGCUACAGUAAUUCCCCGCUAAUCAUGCCACGUCACCUCGGUUACUGUUGUUAACCGUGGGAUGAUCCAAAACCGUUUCAAAAUUCAAAUUUAAAUUAAUGCCGACAGAAAAGGUUUUUCAAAAAUUGAAACAAAAUGUUCGGUGGGUGCCAAAUAUUACAAGGGUAAUUAUACUAAAGAAAACAUAUUUUUAUAAAAUGCCUAAAUGCGUUUAAAUGAAUUAAAACAGAAAAUAAAAUAAAUAAAUAAAAAGAAAAUACAAAAGAAAACAGAACAAACAAAAAAAAGAGAAGGAGAAGCCCCCCCCCCACUGGACCCUGGCCCAACUGGGCCGACCCCAGGCCCAGCCGGCCUGGCCCACCUCCCCUGGUCGCCUUCCCCCCUGUUCCCCCGACCNNNNNNNNNNNNNNNNNNNNNNNNNNNNNNNNNNNNNNNNNNNNNNNNNNNNNNNNNNNNNNNNNNNNNNNNNNNNNNNNNNNNNNNNNNNNNNNNNNNNNNNNNNNNNNNNNNNNNNNNNNNNNNNNNNNNNNNNNNNNNNNNNNNNNNNNNNNNNNNNNNNNNNNNNNNNNNNNNNNNNNNNNNNNNNNNNNNNNNNNNNNNNNNNNNNNNNNNNNNNNNNNNNNNNNNNNNNNNNNNNNNNNNNNNNNNNNNNNNNNNNNNNNNNNNNNNNNNNNNNNNNNNNNNNNNNNNNNNNNNNNNNNNNNNNNNNNNNNNNNNNNNNNNNNNNNNNNNNNNNNNNNNNNNNNNNNNNNNNNNNNNNNNNNNNNNNNNNNNNNNNNNNNNNNNNNNNNNNNNNNNNNNNNNNNNNNNNNNNNNNNNNNNNNNNNNNNNNNNNNNNNNNNNNNNNNNNNNNNNNNNNNNNNNNNNNNNNNNNNNNNNNNNNNNNNNNNNNNNNNNNNNNNNNNNNNNNNNNNNNNNNNNNNNNNNNNNNNNNNNNNNNNNNNNNNNNNNNNNNNNNNNNNNNNNNNNNNNNNNNNNNNNNNNNNNNNNNNNNNNNNNNNNNNNNNNNNNNNNNGCUCCCUCCUUCCCCACCACCCGAGCGCGGUCGCCGACGUGCCGCCGUCGUUCCCGCGGCCACCGAGCCCCGUUCUCCUCCCCGACGUGUCCACGAGCUCCACCGCGUCGAGCCCGUCCUCCCCGACCACCUGCUCGAGCUGGGACCCCCUACAUCACCCCCAACGACGUCGCCUUCUUCCUCGGGUCGCCGCCGUCUUCUUCGACUCCGGCGACUGCUGCUGCUACUAAGCCUCUCACCGGCCUUCGUGUGCCGCGCGGUGAGCUCCUCUACCUCCUACCCUUCUCCGUUUGCUCUCGCGCGAACCUUAGCUAGCUCUCACGACGAGGCCGAACGCGUCGCCGCGGAGCUCGCCGCCGACGCUUCUCCGGUGACGGUUUGGUCACGGGCCCGUACCCAUUAGACUCGCCGCACCACGUAGUUCCUCCCCAGCCUCCUCUUUUGCUCAAUAGCGUGCUGCCUCGCCGUUUCCGUCUUCGACCGAAGCCGCUCCGCCGCUGGCCUCGACGCCGGCGCCGAUUCCAGCCAACUCCGGCGACGCCACCACCGCUGUUUGACGCGCGUUGCUCCGCUCGUUCGAACGCGCCCUCGCGCGCGCGAAAUGGUUGCCCGUAGGCGAAAUUCGACGAGGUCCGAAGCCCUCCGCCGUGUUUGGCGUCACCGGCGACGUGUCACCGGCCGCCGCUGACGUGGCACACCUAGGGCCACCCCGGGUCACUGCCAGCGGGCCUCGCGGGCCCCGUUGACUGGGUUGACCCAGUCAACGUGCUGACUGGGCGUCUCUGUGACGCUGACAUGCGGGCCCCGCCGCAUAAAUAAACUAAAUAAAAUGUUUUUAAAAUAAAACUAAUUAAUUAAUCUAAAUAGGCACUGACAUGUGGGGCCUACCUGCUAAUAACCUUGUUUAAGUUAGUUAUAAAACUCUGUUAGUGCCCUGUCAAUGACAUGUGGGUCCCACUGGACCCACCGGUCUGGUUUGACUGGUCAGCCGACCUGUUGACCUGCUGACGUCAGCGUUACCUCAUGCUGACGUCAUAAUUCAUUUUUGCUAAAUUCAAAUAAUUCCAGAAAUUCAAAUAAUCUUUGAAAAUUCAUAUCUUUUAAACCGUAACUCGGAUGAAAAUGUUUUCUACAUGAAAGUUGCUCAGAACGACGAGACGAAUCCGGAUACGCAGUCCGUUCGUCCACCACACCUCCCUAACCUAUCGAACUUGCAACUUUCCCCCUCCGGUCCAUUUGUCCGAAAACGCAAAACAUCGGGAAUACUUUCCCGGAUGUCCCCCCCCCUCGCCGGUACCACCUACUGUCGCGUUAGGACACACCACGCACUGCUCAUUGUGAUGUCACGCAUCGUCAUGUUUAUGUUUGCAUUGUAUUUACUGUUUCUNNNNNNNNNNNNNNNNNNNNNNNNNNNNNNNNNNNNNNNNNNNNNNNNNNNNNNNNNNNNNNNNNNNNNNNNNNNNNNNNNNNNNNNNNNNNNNNNNNNNNNNNNNNNNNNNNNNNNNNNNNNNNNNNNNNNNNNNNNNNNNNNNNNNNNNNNNNNNNNNNNNNNNNNNNNNNNNNNNNNNNNNNNNNNNNNNNNNNNNNNNNNNNNNNNNNNNNNNNNNNNNNNNNNNNNNNNNNNNNNNNNNNNNNNNNNNNNNNNNNNNNNNNNNNNNNNNNNNNNNNNNNNNNNNNNNNNNNNNNNNNNNNNNNNNNNNNNNNNNNNNNNNNNNNNNNNNNNNNNNNNNNNNNNNNNNNNNNNNNNNNNNNNNNNNNNNNNNNNNNNNNNNNNNNNNNNNNNNNNNNNNNNNNNNNNNNNNNNNNNNNNNNNNNCCCCCCCCCCCUUGAUCACCAGAUAUCGCCUAUUCUUCUCUAUACUGCUUGCAUUAGAGUAGUGUAGCAUGUUACUGCUUUUCGAUAUCCUAUCCUGAUGCAUAGCCUAUCCUUGCUACUACUGUUGUUACCUUUACCUGCAAUCCUACAUGCUUAGUAUAGGAUGCUAGUUUUCCAUCAGUGGCCCUACAUUCUUGUCCAUCUCCUGUGCUAUACUAUCGGGCCGUGAUCACCUGGGCGGUGAUCACGGGUAUAUACUUAUAUACUAUAUACAUGACACAUGUGAUGACUAAAGUCGGGUCGGCUCGUAGGAGUACCUGCAAGUGGAUAUUUGUGGCGGAGCGACAGGGCAGGUUGAGACCGCCUAGGUGAGAGGUGGGCCUGGUCCUGGUCAGCGUUCGCGGAUACUUAACACGCUUAACGAGAUCUUGGUAUUUGAUCUGAGUCUGGCCAUUUGGUCUAUACACUACUAGAGAAAGGCUUACUAGUGGCGCACCAGUUUUGCCUACUAAUGGCGCACUACUGGUGCGCCACUAGUAAUUUUUACUAAUGGCGCACUGCUGGUGCACCAUUAGUAUCUGGUACUCUAAUGGCGCACCGAGCAGUGCGCCAUUAGUAUAGGCCACGGUGCGCCAUUAGUAUGCCUCCCAGGGGGCCAUAUAUACCCAUGUGCUUUGCCAUACUAAUGGCGCACUGCGGUGUGAUGCGCCAUUAGUAUCCUUCGGCAUACUAAUGGCGCACUGCUGGGUGAUGCGCCAUUAGUACCCUCUGGCAUACUAAUGGCGCACUACUCUGGGAUGCGCCAUUAGUAUCCUUUGGCAUACUAAUGGCGCACGUUGGUGUGAUGCGCCAUUAGUAUGUAUAUUAGGGAUUAUUAUUAUUUUCUUUUCUGAUUUUUGCACAGAUUACAAAAUAUAUUAUUGGACAGAAAAUAAGCAGCAGGACACAGCAACAGCAGAUUCAUCGAAUACAAUAGAAGAUUAGUCUCCGAAUACAAUUCAUCAUAUUAGUCUCCGAAUUCAAAAGACCGAACGAAGAUGGAAGAUUACAAGUCUCGAGACCGCGAGUAGCGAGUUUGUCUUCACAUUACAAGUCGAUAUCGAUCAUCUAAACUACCAUCACAUAGAAGAGAGAUGCGGUCAUAACAAUGAGCAUCAUCGCGAUGAAACUGGUCUUCAUCCGGUUCCUCCAACGCUCCCUCCUCUCUCCCGGUAGAUAGCGCGCGUAUCUAGAUUCCGCCUCCGCCCUAGUGGUGUACCCUUUGUAACUAUUACCGCUGAAAUGGUGAACCUGUCUCCGACACUCCUCCCAGUCGUCGUAGACUCCGGUAACCUUACCCUUGUACACGACAUACGUAAGCAAUAUAUAAGUAUGCAACAAAAGGAUCGGAAGAGAAAAGCAAGACAUCCAUAGCACGAUUCAUGGUCCUACUAACAAAUAGCAUCGAUUACAUCUAAGUUGAACGACUGUCCAAACCAAAGAGACAUACAAGUUCACUACAGUUUAAUUACAACAUGAGCUAAUGAAUGUUUCAGAACUACACAUAGCAUCACAACUUUCGACUCGACUCAUGGGACCGGAGCGUGGAUGAAGCCGCCGUCUGUCGUGAUGGUCAUGAAGUCGCGGGCGUUGUCAGCCUGCAUUUGUAGCGUUGUGUCUAUCUCGCUGUUGGACGGUUGAAAUUUGAGGUAGAACUGCCCCGAGGUACGAAGGACAUCUUGAUGGAUGAUUUCUGCAAACUCCGACUGGAUGCGAAAGAAUUCUUGUCGGAUGUCCGCGUCCUGGAUUGCCGCCAAGCUUGCGGCCCAAUCUUUGAGAUUAUUUGGUAGCAGAAGGUGAUUAUGGUCCCGCACGAUCGCCCGCAUGUGAUGGAGGGUGUAGUAGGCAUCCUUCUGACCGCCAGGCGGCUGCUUGACGCAGGGGAACGUCGUAUUAUGGGUGAACACGUGCCUGCCGUACCUACGAACUGGCCUCUUAAAGGUGCCUCCAGAUGCGACGUAGCCGGGGAGAGCAUCAUCAAGAACUUUCUUGAUAUUUGUGUAGUCUAUCUUGGAGUCACGGUCCGGGUCGAGAUACGUGGCCAUGGAAUAUUUCGGGCUUAAGAGGAUGAGUGUGCAAUGUGUGUCACUGCACAGAACACGGAAUGUUAGAAAAAAAAGAACGAUCAAAAUCUAAGAAAUCAUAUGUUACGGGGCGGUUAGGAGAUGACUUACUCGGGAAAGUAAGGCACGAGGAAGUUAUCCUUAUCUGGGUUUGCCAGAAUGACGCCUUCGAGGUGUGAACUCGCGACUUGCCGGUCCCCAGCGCUGCCCAAGAUCUUGGCACGCAUGUAGAAGGGGUCGACUAUCACAAUGUCCGGGGUCUUGUCUCUAAUGAUCCGCAUCUCCAUACUCAGCGAAAACAGCCGAACGAAGGUGUAGUGCAGCGGAUGAAGGUUAAGCAUAGCAAAGAUGUCAUCAAAUCGCAGGACGAUCGUACCCCUGACGGCGCUAUCCACAAAGCCCUUGCCCUCUGGCACCUUGGCCACGAAAACCGGGUAUGCCACAUCAUUCUCUCUGAGACGCCGCUUCUCCAAAGAAAGAACACUAUCAUGCAGACUCCGCAUAGCACCGGUUGCAGCAUUGAGCAUAUUUGUCGGUAGCAUCGGCCUACCCGCCACAUGCACCCUCCUCGAGAUAUCCUUAGGUGAAGGUGGUCUGUCCUGAGCACGGAUCGUACUCGGUGCCGGUUGGCUCGCACUAGCGCCCUUGUUAGUCUUUCGUUUCCGUCCCUUCUUCUUGAUCUGCUGUAAUGGGAUCGAGUUCUGCUCACAGACCGCCUUCUUGAGCGUGUUGGGGCUGAUAAUAUUUGGCACCUCAGCUAUCUGAGGCUCGGUGAAGGCGGCAGCUGGAGGCGUCUCCUGAGAACUGAACGCCAGACGACGCCUGUUGCAAUGGGUUUCUCCGCCGUACCAGCUAGAUCGCGGUCGUCUUUUUGAGGGUUGGGUUCUUGAGAAGGAGGCCCGCAGAACUCGUCACCGUACCCAUGCUCGGCAAAGUACUUAUCGACGUUGGUAAAUGUACCGUCGUCGUUGUCGUCGUCGUCCGGAUCCUGUGCCAUAUGCAUGUUCGGAUCCUGUGCCAUAGGGAUGUCCGGCAGGUCCGGUAGCGUUGCGGCGUUCUUGCCAUGGCUUGGCACUGGCACGACUGGCGGUCUUGUCUGUGGGGUGGUGUCCCCCGCCGCCAAACGAAUCUGGCUCUUCGGCCAAAGCAGGGGCCAGCUUACACAGGUGCUGAGGGUCAUCACAUCAUCUUCGUCGGCCCCAGCGGGUCGAAUCGGAGGUAACAACUCGUCGCAGCCUGGUAGUACCCGAACCAGUUCAACCCUAUAUAAGGUGGGUGGCAUCGGAUUACCGUGGAACACGCGGUUGCCCGGUUGAACGAUUCUGCCCUUGGCGACAUCGACCAACUCGCCGCCCACGAAGUGCAGGAGAGUGCAAGGAACAUCGAUGGCGCCCUGCGAAAACAUGUAGGGCGUCAGGGAUGCCCAGUCAAAGGCAAGGAGAUGAAGUCAUCGGCCGAGAGGCUUAGUUACCGUGAUGCCGUCGAGCUCGGCUAAUGUCGAGGCACCGCCAACGGCGGGCGUGCGCGUGCAACUGACGGAGGGGCCGCUUGCUGGCGAGGUGCCGGCCGGCGUACACCCAGGUGCAUUAAGCUCCAAUGCCCGUGCCGGCGCCGGAGACACGAAUACCGCCUCCGCCGGAGACACCAAUGGCGCCGCCUGCGCGUUGUGCGAGUUGCUGGCCGUGAAGCUGGGAACCGGGGGAGGCCCCUAUUGGCCGCCCGCAAUCCACGUCGUCAGCCCCUGAAUCAAGGUAGGCACAAUGGCGGUGAGCGUCAUUCCCAGUUGUUGUUGCACUUGCUCUUGGACAAUCUCCGAAAUCCGUGCCACUUGUGCCUUGAGUUCUUGAACCUCGCGCGACUGGCUUUCCGAGCUGGUCUUUUUCUCCUUUCGCCCACCAGCGGUAUAGUAUGACGACCAUUUUGUGGACAAGCCUUUGCCGGCCACACGACCAGCUGACGACGGCUUACUAAGCUUAUCCUUGUUUUUCAUUACGUUCAACGCCCUAUUUAAAGGGGUGUCAAAAGGGGAGCUCUGAGAUGACCCCGCGCUACUGCUUUCAGCCUCCUGCGGAAGGAAUGUGAACCAUUUAGAAAUUUGGCUUCAUUAACUAGAAUGCAACCAUAUAUGUAGCUAAUUACGCGGGGGUGUAUUCCUUACCAGAACUUUCUCAAGCGCCUUGGUCUUCGGAUCCGUGGUAAGCUCCUUUGUUACCGGGUCCUCCUUGUAUCGGGCCCUGACAAAGUUCCUGGUCUGCUUGUCAGGGAAUUUCUUGAAGCAGGGCGGUAGGCCUUGCUCGGCACGCUCCGCGUCCUCCUUGUCCCAUAUAGGCUCCGCCACUCUAUAACCGCCGGGACCGAGUUGGUGGACCCCUAAGUUCAACUGCCGCAUUUCUUUCCCCCACUGACUUGAUUCGGAGGUUGCGCUGCUCUCGCACUUGAUCUUGAACUCCUUGUAGUCAUCUUCGCUCAUCAAAGGAUAUUUCGCCUUGAUCUUCUCAUAACUAUCACCUUUUUCAAUCAUUGCCUUCACCGUGCUUCUCCAUGUAGACAGGGCCGUGCUCAUCCUCGUGAGGGCGGCACUGUUCACUUUAUUCCCUGAGAGGCGUGUGUUUGCAAACUCAUUGGGGAACUUGUAUCGUUCGUGCAGCUUCGUGAAGAGGAGGCAGCGCAAAUUCCCUCGGUCCUUAUGCCUUAGGUUCUCGGUGUUGAUCGAGACGGUGCUCCGGAGAAUGCACCCGAGCUAAACCGAGUACCCCUUGACUACAUGUUUGGGCGCCAUUGGAUGCCCGUCGGAGUUCACUUCAGUAAAUUCCUCCUUGACGGUGCCGAGCAUGUUCGGGCACCGGUCCUUCCGUUGCCUCUUCGGUUGGCUGCCAUCUGUGCGUGCGCCGCCAUCAUCAGUGGUGGCAUCCUCGGCGGCACCAUCAGUGGUGUCAUCCCCGACCCCAAUAGGGGUUGUGUAGUCAGGAUCGGUGUCUUCCGCGGCAUCGUCCCGAUAGCGGUGAGGUUCUUCCUCCAUCUCCUGGGACAGCUCCCAGAAUUGCUUGCCGCCCGAACCGCCGGCCUCAUCGUUGUGGGCCAUGUUUCGCUCUAAAUAGGAAAAAAGUUUGGUCAAAAAGUUGGUUAUUGUCAAGGAACAAGAUCAUGGUCUCAUCAUUUAGGGUUUGUCGACACCGAGGCAUCCUAAAAGCUAAUCUUUUAUCAUUUAGGGUUUGUCGACGCCGAGGCACCCUAAAAGCCUAAGCGUACAUCAUUUAGGUUCUCAUCGACACCGAGGCACCCUAUAGAAGCCAAGGUUUCAUCAUUUAGGGUUUGUCGACGCUGAGGCACCCUAAAUGCUAAGUUAAGUUUUCAUCAUUUAGGGUUUAUCGAUGCCGAGGCACCCUAGGUUGGGGCUAAUCACUUGGCACUAAUCACUUGGCUCUAUUGCCACCUAUGUUGGGUUUAUCAUCUAGGGUUUAUCGAUGCUAAGGAGAAUUCUAAGUUGGGCGUAAUCACUUGGCUCUAUUACCACCUAUGGUUUAAUGCAGCAAGAAUGGCGGGGCAGUCGAUCCUACUUAACUAAGUACUAAGAUACCCCGGCCCAUGCAUUAGUCGCAAGUACCCCAUAUGUCCUAUUUUUAGCAAAGUCAUGCUAAAUCUCAUAGGGAAAAUUUCAGCAUGACCUUUGCUGAAAAUAGGACAUAUGGAGUUCCCGAAUUUGCCGGAACGGAAGUUAAUCGACAUUCCAGCAAACUCAAGGGCCUCUCGGGGUACCUGCAAAUUCAUCACGACACAAUGGUCGGAGACAAAACAUGAUGGGCAGGCCAAAUACUCAUGUCACAAGUAAUUCAGAGGCAUCACAAUAAAGCAACACCCUGCACUAGCCUAAAAACAAGUGAAGUUUCACCCAUAUAAGAACAACUUUAUAAAAUAAGAGAAGUUGCUAAAUUUUUUGUAUCCUUCAUACACACUGGAGUACAAUGCUUUAUAAUGUUCCAUCAUCAUUACAGAAAUCCAAGAAACACAUGGUCUUGAGGAUAUUCUUUAUGACUGAUUGUUUCAGUUUUACAUGCAGAUUUUGACCAAAAAACACAUGGUCUUUUUAACAGUUUUCAGUUUGGACAGAAUACUGAAAACUACAGUUUGGACAGAAUUCCUAACACUUUGGUCUUCUAGUUACAAAACAAAACUGACAUAAUUCUAGAUGCCAUAACUGAAUUUUCCUUUGGCAUUCAUAGGGAAAUAUUCUUUCUCUGCGGCGUCCCACGUAUUGGCUGGUGUUUUCCACAGCGUGUCUAGCUCCUCUUCCAGCAGCCCCAGAUACAGAUUGAUGUCGUUCCCUGGUUGUUUCGGCCCUUCAAUUAGCAUACUCAUGUGAAUGUACUUCCUCUUCAUGCACAACCAGGGGGGAAGGUUGUACAUCCACACAAACACAGGCCAGGUGCUAUGUGUGCUUCUCUGGCUGCCAAACGGAUUGACUCCAUCGGUGCUCGCGCCUAGCACGAUGUUCCUUGGAUCGUUCCCAAAUUCUGGGUGUUCGAAGUUCAACGCUUGCCACUGGCUCCCAUCCUUAGGGUGACUCAGCAUCUUGUCUUUUUUAUUUAUCUCCGGAUCAUUUGCGUCAUCUUCUCGUUUCUUCUCCUCCCUAUCCGCGUGCCAACGCAGGAGCUUUGCUACCUUAGGGUCCGCGAAAUACCGCUGCAGACGAGGAGUGAUCGGAAAGUACCACACCACUUUUCGAGGAGCUUUCUUCCUCUUCUUGUAUCGAGUGACGCCGCACACCGGACAUAUGGUAGACUCCGUGUGCUCGUCCCGAUAAAUGAUGCAAUUGUUCAUGCACACAUGGUAUUUCACGUGCGGUAAAUCCAGAGGACACACGAUUUUCUUCGCCUCCUCGAAACUGGUCAGGCACUUGUUCCCCUUGGGAAGACGUUCGUGCCAAAAUGACAUGUUCUCGUCGAAGCAUGCGUCGGUCAUUUUGUGCUUUACCUUCAUCUCCAGAGCCAUGAGCGUUACUUUCAGGCGGGUAUCCUCGGGCCUGCAUCCUUCAUACAAUGGAGUAACCGCGUCUAUCUCCAGUUGAUCCAGCUUGGCUUUCUCUCGGGCGGCAGCUCUUGCGUUAUCCGUCUGCUUGAGAAGCAGCUCUUGAAUAUGAGGGUCCUGCACCCAGCCCAUCGAUGGUCCAUCGUCGUCUGCUCCGCCGGCAUCUUCAUCUUCAUGAUCAUGCCCUUCGUCUGCUCCCGCAUCUUCCUCAUCAUCAUGUCCGGCAUCUUCUACAUGAUGACUGUGUACAGCAUCACCGUCGUGAUCAUGUCCUGGAGAUUCUUCGUCUUCUCGCCCGCCCGAGCCGCGGUGGUUGUCUUGCUGCCCAUCCUCAUUUCUUGCCCGACCCCCAUGGACGACUUCAUAGUCAUAUUCAUCACCUUGCCACCGAUAGCCAUCCAUGAAACCACGCAAGAGCAGGUGGUCCCGCACCUGCCCGGAAUCCGGGUCCGCAAUAAGGCUCUUCAGCUUGCAUCUUCGACACGGACAUCUUAUCUCCGUCUCGUUCUUUUCAAGCAUCUCGGCCUUCGCGGAGCUCAAAAACCUAUUCACGAUGCCUUCGGUCAUCGUGCGGACCAUGGUCACCUGCGGGGUAGAGCAAAACGAUAUUUUAGAACCAAGAAAAAAUUUGGCAUGACUUUCCCUAAAAAUAGGACCAAAAAGAAUGCAUAGUGCCAAAAUUCUCGCCAAAACGGAAAUGAAUCAACAUUCCGGCAAAAUAUUGGCAACUAUCGCAUUUCAAAUACCGGUACCUGCAAACACAAACAUAUAUGCAACACCACAAACAUAUGCAACACCACAAACAUACAUAGAUCUAGCUAGGACAUAAAAAGUGCAUGUGCACGUUGUUGGAGGGAGAACAACAUAAAGAUAGCUUCCCCCUUACUUACCUAUCAAAAAAAGGGGCUUUAACCACGUAAUUUGGAUGAAUUUAUGGUGCAAAUGAGGUGAGGAGGAGGAGGCAGCCGAGACAAGCUUGGAGGAGGGAGGAGAGAAUGAAGUGGGGAAAGUGAGUGGGUAGGUGUGGCUGUCCAAAAUAUCUAGCUCGUCCCAGGUUACUAAUGGCGCACCACCACAUAAUGCGCCAUUAGUAACCCUGGUUACUAAUGGCGCACCUGCUGGUGGUGCGCCAUUAGUAGUUUUGCAAAAAAACACUAAUGGCGCACGGGGAGCCGUGCGCCAUUACUAGCUUAAACUAGUAAUGGCGCACUGCCCCAGGUGCGCCAUUAGUAGUUUUGCAAAAAAGUAAAAAUAAAAAAAAUAUUUUAGUGGCGCACUGUGCUGCUGGUGCGCCAUUACUAGUUACAACUAGUAAUGGCGCACUAUGUCCUGGUGCGCCAUUAGUAUGUUUGGCAAAGCAAUGGCGCACCACAUGUCUGGUGCGCCAUUAGUGGCCAUUCCAUCUAUAGCCCUUUUCCUAGUAGUGAUACGCACUAGCCAUCUACGCGGGAGUAGUUAUGGGUAUCCCGGCGUCGUGGUAUCAGCCGAAGCCUUCUUGACGUCAGCGACUGAGUGGCGCGCGCCGGAUUGGACUGGAACGCCACUAGGCUAGGUCUGCUUCCGGCCGCGUACACAACGUGCAGGUGUGCAUAGGGCGAUGGGCCCAGACCCCUGCGCGCAUAGGGUUAGACCGGCGUGCUGACCUCUCUGUUGUGCUUAGGUGGGGCUGCGACGUGUUGAUCUUACGAGGCCAGGCAUGAGCCAGAAAAGUGUGUCCGGCCAAAUGGGAUCGAGCGUGUUGGGUUAUGUGGUGCACCCCUGCAGGGAAGUUUAUCUAUUUGAAUAGCCGUGUCCCUCGGUAAAAGGACGACCCGGAGUUGUACCUUGACCUUAUGACAACUAGAACUGGAUACUUAAUAAAACACACCCUUCCAAGUGCCAGAUAUAACCCGGUGAUCGCUCUCUAACAGGGGGACGAGGAGGGGAUCACCGGGUAGGAUUAUGCUAUGCGAUGCUACUUGGAGGACUUCAGUCUACUCUCUUCUACAUGCUGCAAGAUGAAGAUGGCGAGAAGCGUAGUCUUCGACAGGAUUAGCUAUCCCCCUCUUAUUCUGGCAUUCUGCAGUUCAGUCCACUGAUAUGGCCCUUUACACAUAUACCCAUUGCAUAUGUAGUGUAGCUCCUUGCUUGCGAGUACUUUGGAUGAGUACUCACGGUUGCCUUUCUCCCUCUUUUCCCCCCUUCCUUUCUACCUGGUUGUCGCAACCAGAUGCUGGAGUCCAGGAGCCAGACGCCACCGUCGACGACGACACCUACGACACUGGAGGUGCCUACUACUACGUGCAGCCCGCUGAUGACGACCAGGAGUAGUUAGGAGGAUCCCAGGCAGGAGGCCUGCGCCUCGUUCGAUCUGUAUCCCAGUUUGUGCUAGCCUUCUUAAGGCAAACUUGUCUAACUUAUGUCUGUACUCAGAUAUUGUUGCUUCCGCUGACUCGUCUAUGAUCGAGCACUUGUAUUCGAGCCAUCGAGGCCCCUGGCUUGUAUUAUGAUGCUUGUAUGACUUAUUUAUGUUGUAGAGUUGUGUUGUGAUAUCUUCCCGUGAGUCCCUGAUCUUGAUCGUACACAUUUGCGUGCAUGAUUAGUGUAUGGUCAAAUCGGGGGCGUCACAUGUUCUUAGUUCUAUUGAACUUUUUUCAUUCUUUUAAACAAGAAUCUAAUAAACUAGAAUUGAGUCAGUGGAAAAAAGGAUAUCAACCUCUGCAUUUUCUGGGGCAUUCCAUUAGCGUGUCUGAGAGAUUGAGUUAUUGUCUAUAUUUUUCAAUCUGUAAGAUGGUGACACUACUAUGAACAAGACAAAGAAUCCAAUAAGAUUUUUCACCAUCUUACCUUACAUUCAAGACCAUCUCUACCUUUCUUUUUCCUCUUCUUCCCCUGUUUGCUGACUGAACUAGGUGAUAGUUCAUCCUGAUUCAUGGUUGAUUGAACUGUUGGAUAGCCAAAGUUUUGUCAAAAACAGGCAAGCCCAUUUAUCUGGAACAUGAACUAGAAGAAUAUCUUUUUUCACUAACAUCUUGAAGAAAUUCUAUUGCACUUCAUAUUUUAUUUACCUAGCAGGUGCUCGUACUGCGGCGGAGAUGCUCUUCUUCUUCGGCGAUGGUUGUCUACCUUCAAUCCUCGCCGGCGAUAGCCACAACCCCCCUCGUCCGCUGCUUGCCUGCCUCAAAUCUAGCCGGCGGACACACGCGCACGCCUUGUGCGCACCGCCAGCACGGCCUGCGGCGCCUCGCAGAGAGAGGAUGAGGACGUUUUUGCUUUACUAUUUUUUCCUAGGGUUACCUGUUUUUAUCUAUCCAAAUAAUACUAACCUGUCCAACCGACAGUUGGGGUCCACCCCGCAAAAGACGGAGCGUGGUACUUGUCUCCGCACUUUCCCAUCUCUCGCUCUUCCCCAUUUCCUCCAUUUUCUCUCGGCAGCACCGUCGCCCACCUCCAUACCAUCGGCAUCAACUUGAAGACCUAUUUUCCUAAGAUCCAUCAGGUCAAUUUCUUAAAUAGUCGUCCUCUUUUACGUCUAAGUUUUGUUCUUCCUCUUCAUAUGCUCAGAUCUGGUAGAUUCUAAUCCACCAGAUCUUGGUGUGCCCAAUUUUUCUGGUUGGACUUUCAGAGAUCAAUUCAUGUUUUUCGAUAUGCUGCUUGAUUUUGGGUUCAUCAUCAAGCAGUUCAAGCUAGGAACAUCUUACUACACAUAGUGCUCUGCGCUUCACUUCAUCCCCAACUAGUUAUAGGAAGAUGUACGACCAAUGCACCUUGAGUUCAUCCCCGAGUAGUUAUAGGAAGAUGUACAACCAAAGCAAAAUAUUUUUAUUCCAUGCUUGUUGUUCAACAAAAAUGAGUAAAUGGCGAAAUGCACAAUCAAGGCAAACAACUGUACUGUCAAUGCACCAACCAUUUGCUCUCAGUGCCCUCAACAUUGCAAAUAAUUUUUCUUUUCAAAUUAUUGCAGAUGGAAGAUGAAAAUAUUAAGGCAGGACAAGGCCAACAACUUGAUAACCAUGAAACAGUCAACAUUAAUAUUCUAUAGAAAGUUGCCAACACAAAUAAGGUUCAACUUUCUUUCCAAAAAAGCAUCCAUUAUCUUGCUCUACUUUUUUAUUUUUCCCUACUAAAUGCUUUCCCUACUAAAUGUCCUAAGCACAAGUGAUUGGCAUAACAUUUGUAGUUUCUUUUAUAAGCACAUUUGUUACUUAAGUAUUAAGUAAAUCUUUUUCCUCCAUCAAUGCUUCUGUACUAAACUUUAUUCAUUUUUCUGCAGAUGUCUACGUCAAAUGAAUCACUUCUAAAGAAGAGAAAUAUCCAAGAACUACAUAUGGCAGAAUUAAGUGAUGACAAAAUUUAUAAAAAGAAGAAAGUAAGAACAAUCUGCUAACAUAUUUUCUUAUACUUUCAGUGAUUUUGAAGUAACUCCAUCUCUACAAUCGAAAUCGUCUUUCUGUGCACCUAUUUUCUAAAUAUUCUGAACUUUUUAUUAAAUUACUUCAGGCAGUUAUUCUGGACCAUCUUAAUAAGUUCCUGGUUUUCAUAUCAAAUCUUACUGAUGAUCAAAAGAAUAUAGUACGAAAGCUAGGGUUCGGUUCUGUUCUUCAAAUUUCAUGCAACUCGAAUGUGGAUGAUUUAUUCCACUGGUUAGUUGCCCAGUUCAACACAAGUACAUGCAGCAUUGCACUUAAGAAUGGGUUUAAAUUCAAAUUCACAGAUGAUGUUGUGCACAAAAUUCUGGGCAUUCCAUGUGGAGGAUUACCAAUUCAGACAAGCUAUUUUUUUAAAAUAAUACAUUUUUUUAUUAAUUUUCAUAAAUAUUACGCUGGAUAAAAAAAUUUCAAAAAUAAUACACCGGCGGCCUAGUCGGCCCACAGCAGGCCGAUUGGAUUCCAGUCGGCCUACAGCUGGCCGACUGGCCCCUGUCGGCCCACUGUGGGCUGAUUGCGUCCUGUCGGCCCACUGUGGGCCGACUGAAGCUAAUUGGCACGCUGUAGGCUAAUUGUUUUUGCAAAAAAAGUACGCAUAAAAAAUAUAUGUUUAAAAAAAUGUUAAUCAUGUAAGUAAAAAAUAUUAAACGUGUAUAAAAAAAUGUUCCUGAUGUAUACAAAAAAUGUACAAUAUAUAUGCAAAAAAGUUGACAUAAAAAAAUAUGUUUUAAAAAGUGUUAAGCAUGUAUUUAAAAAUUGUUAAAUGUGUGUAUAAAAAAUGUUCCUUAUUUAUACAAAAAAUAUAGAAUGUGUAUGAAAAAAAGUUGACACCAAAAAAAUAUGUUUGAAAAAUAUGUUUGAAAAGUUGACAUUUUUUCAAAUACAUGAUUAAAAAUUGUUAAAUGUGUGUAUAAAAAUGUUUCUUCUCUAUUCAAAAAAUAUAGAAUGUGUAUGAAAAAAAGUUGACACCAAAAAAAUGUGUUUGAAAAAAAUGUUCCAGUUCCAUACAAAAAGAGCAAACAAUCAUACUUAGGUCCGUGAUGCUCCCAUACCGGAUUCGGAGCUGGAACAUUUUUUUAUACACGAUUAACCUUUCAUUCCAAUACAUGAAACAUUUUUGUGUACUCAUUGAACAUUUUUUCAAAUACAUGAUUAACAUUUUUUUCAAAAAUAAUUUUUUGGUGUCAACUUUUUUUCAUACACAUUCUAUAUUUUUUGUAUAGAUAAGGAACAUUUUUUCAAAUACAUGAUUAACAUUUUUUUCAAACAUAUUUUUUGGUGUCAACUUUUUUUCAUACACAUUCUAUAUUUUUUGUAUAGAUAAGGAACAUUUUUUAUACACACAUUUAACAAUUUUUAAAUACAUGAUUAACACUUUUUAAAACAUAUUUUUAGUCAACUUUUUUGCAUAUAUAUUGUACAUUUUUUGUAUACAUCAGGAAUAUUUUUUUAUACACAUUUAACAUUUUUUAAUUACAUAAUUAACAUUUUUUUAAACAUAUAUUUUUUAUGCCUACUUUUUUUGCAAAAACAAUUAGCCCACAGCGAGCCAAUUAGCUCCAGUCGGCCCACAGUGGGCCGACAGGACCCAAUCAGCCCACAGUGGGCCGACAGGGGCCAGUCGGCCAGCUGUAGGCUGACUGGAGUCCAAUCGGCCUGUUGUGGGCCGACUAGGCCCAGUCGGCAUGCAGCGGGCCGACGGUGUAUUAUUUUUGAGAAAAAAUUUACCCAGUGUAAUAUUUAUGAAAAUUAAUAAAAAAAUGUAUUAUUUAAAAAAAUUAGCUUCAGACAAUCCCUACCAAUGAAACAGUUCAAUUCACGAAUACAUUCUUGCAAUCAGCUACUCCAACUACAGAGCAACUAUUCUCAAUGAUUACUCCUACCAUAACUGAAGAAGCUUUCUCUAGGAUAUUCUUGCUAUUGACUCUUUCUAUCCUCAUUGCACCUAACUCAAAGGGACUACUCAGCAAAAAAAUUCUUCAGUGCUUUGGUGGACAUAGAUUCUGUUCCCAAAUACAAUUGGUGUCUUUUUGCCCUGUCUUUCUUGGUUCAUCAAAUUAGAAAAUCAGACAUAAGGAUCAACCCCUGAUACGUCUCCGUUGUAUCUAUAAUUUUUUAUUGUUCCAUGCCAAUAUUCUACAACUUUCAUAUACUUUUGGCAACUUUUUAUAUUAUUUUUGGGACUAACAUAUUGAUCCAGUGCCCAGCGCCAGUUCCUGUUUGUUGCAUGCUUUAUGUUUCGCAGAAAACCCAUAUCAAACGGAGUCCAAACGGGAUAAAAACGGACGGAGAAUAUUUUUGGAAUAUUUGGAAAAUAUGGGAAGAAGAAUCAAUGCGAGACAGUGCCCGAGGUGGCCACGAGGCAGGGUGGCGCGCCUGCCCCCCUGGGCGCGCCCCUGGCCCUUGUGGGCACCUCGUAAGGCGGUUGAUGCUCUUCUUUGGCUGCAAGAAAGCUAAUUUUUGGAAAAAAAUCUUGGCCAAGGUUUCAAUCCAAUCGGAGUUACAGAUCUCCGAAUAUAUAAGAAAUGGUGAAAGGCAGAAUACCAGAAUGCAGAAACAGAGAGAGGCAGAGAGACAAAUCCAAUCUCGGAGGGGCUCUCGCCCCUCCCACGCCAUGGAGACCAUGGACCAGAGGGGAAACCCUUCUCCCAUCUAGGGAGAAGGUCAAGGAAGAAGAAGAAGAAGGGGGGCCCUCUCCCCCUGUGACGCCCGGAUAGUUAAGCUACAGUAACCCUCUGCUAAUGAUACUAAUCUCGCGUUAGUUCAAAACCGGUUCGAAUUCAAAUUCGGGAAUCAAGCAAGCAAAAAAAGUUUUCAAAUAUUAAAACUAAAAUGUUCGGAGUGAACCAAAUAAUGCAUAGGUAAUUAUGGUGGAGAAACACACUUUUAUAAUAUGUUUAAAUGCUCAAAUGGGAAUGAAACAGCAGCAUAACCAAUUUAAUAAAUGCCUUUUAUUAAUUAUAAAAUGUUAAAUAUUUUAUUUUGGGAUCAAAUUUUUUUUUGUGGCAUUGUCUAAUUUUGGAAUGUGAAUUAUGGGGACAAGUUUCCUAUUUUACUAAACCAAUUUGCUAUUUAAGAUAAGUACAAAACAUAACAAAUAAAAAUAAACAGAAAAAGAAAAAGGUAAACCAAAAAAGGGGGGAAACAACAUCCCCCCUAUGGCCAAUUGGACCACGGCCCAGCUAGCCGGCCCAACUCGCCCUGGCCUAUAACCAACCCCAGUGAAACCCUNNNNNNNNNNNNNNNNNNNNNNNNNNNNNNNNNNNNNNNNNNNNNNNNNNNNNNNNNNNNNNNNNNNNNNNNNNNNNNNNNNNNNNNNNNNNNNNNNNNNNNNNNNNNNNNNNNNNNNNNNNNNNNNNNNNNNNNNNNNNNNNNNNNNNNNNNNNNNNNNNNNNNNNNNNNNNNNNNNNNNNNNNNNNNNNNNNNNNNNNNNNNNNNNNNNNNNNNNNNNNNNNNNNNNNNNNNNNNNNNNNNNNNNNNNNNNNNNNNNNNNNNNNNNNNNNNNNNNNNNNNNNNNNNNNNNNNNNNNNNNNNNNNNNNNNNNNNNNNNNNNNNNNNNNNNNNNNNNNNNNNNNNNNNNNNCAGAUUUGGAUCAGGUCACGACCUGGACGCCGCCCCGGACUGCCGUCGCCGCUCGUCACUCGCCGGGACUCCUCCACCGUCGCCAACACCGCUCGGCGCCGCCCUCCCCACCGGACCUCCUCGUCUCCUCCCCGAACGGCUUCACCGAGCCACGCCGACCCUCUCCCCGUCAACGCCCGUGAGGCCUCCCCUCCUUCCCCGUCUCCCCCUUUUCUCUCUGGCACCACAGCCACCGCGCCCCCGACCGGGUCUGGCCACGCCCGCGGUCAGCACGCCCCUCCCCACCGCCCCCGCGCUGAGGCCGCACCCCGUCGUGCUCUUCUUCCCGCGGCCGCGCCACCCGCUAGCGCCGCUACCUUGCAUCGUCGCCCUCCGCUGCUCCCUGCGCACAGCCCGCGCUCGCCGCCUCUGCCACGCAUCGCUCUCAGGCGCAUGCCCCUGCCUGCCCGCGCUACCCCUACUCCUGCUAGCUGUUGCGGCCAGCCCCGUCGGCCUCGCCCAGGCCUCGCACUGCCCCGCCUCCGUCCGCCACAGUCGGCCGCCUCUGCCCUCACCAGCGCGCGCUCGCACCCCCCACCGUGCCGCGCACAGCAGCCCCCUGCUGUUGGGGAUCGUAGCAGAAUUUUAAAAUUUUCUACGCAUCACCAAGAUCCAUCUAUGGAGUUUACUAGCAACAAGGGGAAAGGAGUGCAUCUACAUACCCUUGUAGAUCGCGAGCGGAAGCGUUCAAGUGAACGGGGUUGAUGGAGUCGUACUCGUCGUGAUCCAAAUCACCGAUGACCGAGCGCCGAACGGACGGCACCUCCGCGUUCAACACACGUACAGAGCAGCGACGUCUCCUCCUUCUUGAUCCAGCAAGGGGGGAGGAGAGGUUGAUGGAGAUCUAGCAGCACGACGGCGUGGUGGUGGAAGUAGCGGGGAUCCCGGCAGGGCUUCGCCAAGCGCAAGCGGGAGGGAGAGGUGUCACGGGAGGGAGAGGGAGGCGCCAGGGGCUAGGGUACAGCAGCCCUCCCUCCCCCCUUUAUAUAGGCCCCCUGGGGGGGCGCCGGCCCCUGGGAUCCCAUCUAUAGGGGGGCGCCGGCCAGGGGGGGGGGGAACUUUCCCCCCAAGUCAGGUGGGGCGCCCCCCACCCCCAGGGUUUCCAACCCUAGGCGCAGGGGGAGGCCCAUGGGGGGCGCACCAGCCCACCAGGGGCUGGUUCCCCUCCCACUUCAGCCCAUGGGGCCCUCCGGGAUAGGUGGCCCCAUCCGAUGGACCCCCGGGACCCUUCCGGUUGUCCCGGAACAAUACCGAUAACCCCCAAAACUUUCCCGGUGGCCGAAACUGGACUUCCUAUAUAUAAUUCUUCACCUCCGGACCAUUCCGGAACUCCUCGUGACGUCCGGGAUCUCAUCCGGGACUCCGAACAACUUUUGGGUUUCCGCAUACUAAUAUCUCUACAACCCUAGCGUCACCGAACCUUAAGUGUGUAGACCCUACGGGUUCGGGAGACAUGCAGACAUGACCGAGACGCCUCUCCGGUCAAUAACCAACAGCGGGAUCUGGAUACCCAUGUUGGCUCCCACACGUUCCACGAUGAUCUCAUCAGAUGAACCACGAUGUCGAGGAUUCAAUCAAUCCCGUAUACAAUUCCCUUUGUCAAUCGGUACGUUACUUGCCCGAGAUUCGAUCGUCGGUAUCCCAAUACCUUGUUCAAUCUCGUUACCGGCAAGUCACUUUACUCGUACCGUAAUGCAUGAUCCCGUGGCUAACUCCUUAGUCACAUUGAGCUCAUUAUGAUGAUGCAUUACCGAGUGGGCCCAGAGAUACCUCUCCGUCAUACGGAGCGACAAAUCCCAGUCUCGAUCCAUGCCAACUCAACAGACACUUUCGGAGAUACCCGUAGUGCACCUUUAUAGUCACCCAGUUACGUUGUGACGUUUGGUACACCCAAAGCACUCCUACGAUAUCCGGGAGUUGCACGAUCUCAUGGUCUAAGGAAAUGAUACUUGACAUUGGAAAAGCUCUAGCAAACGAACUACACGAUCUUUUGUGCUAUGCUUAGGAUUGGGUCUUGUCCAUCACAUCAUUCUCCUAAUGAUGUGAUCCCGUUAUCAAUGACAUCCAAUGUCCAUAGUCAGGAAACCAUGACUAUCUGUUGAUCAACGAGCUAGUCAACUAGAGGCUUACUAGGGACACGUUGUGGUCUAUGUAUUCGCACAUGUAUUACGAUUUCCGGAUAACACAAUUAUAGCAUGAACAAUAGACAAUUAUCAUGAACAAGCAAAUAUAAUAAUAACCAUUUAUUAUUGCCUCUAGGGCAUAUUUCCAACACCUGCUGCACCCGCUCAUCGUCGUCGCUCCGUCCGGUCCGAGCCUGCCUCGCCGUUGCCUCCCUCCUGUCGCUGCCAUCAGCCGCCGCCCACGCCGGCCGCGCCCGCGCCGUCCCGCUGCACCGGCCGCGCCACUCGGCCCCGCUCCAACCGCGCCUCACGCCUGCUCGCCCGUACCCGCUGCCCAGCGCCCGCUAUGGCGUUUGGGCCAAAGACAUGUGGGGUUGCCCCCUCUGAAACUUUAAAAAAAUGAUAAUAAAAAUAAUAAGAAUUAAUUAAUUAAUUAGGAUAAUUAAUUAACUCUGUUUAGUUAACUAAUUAAAUUUAAUUAAUCUGCUAAUUAAAAUAAUAGCUGAUAAUUAGUGAACAACCAAUGACAUGCGGACCCCACAUGUCAGUUUGACCCAGUCAUCACCUCUGUUGACUACUGAUGUCAUGCUGACGUCAUGCUGAUGCAAUAAUGCUAUUUUUCAAUUAAUUUCGUAAUAAUAAUUUAGAAAUUGAUUAAAUCUUUAAAAAUUAAUAUAAAAUAAUUCAUAGCUCGUAUGAAAAUAUUUUGUACAUGAAAGUUGCUCAGAACAACGAGACGAAUCCGAAUACGCAGUCCGUUCGUUCGCCGCACAUCCUUAGCAUAGCAAACACGCAACUUUCCCCCUUCGGUUCAUCUUUCCGAAAAUGCAAAACACCGGGGAUACUUUCCCGAAUGUUUUCCCCCCUUCGCCGGUAUCGCCUACUACUGUGUUAGGUCACCCCUAGCAUCGCGUAUUGCCAUGUUAUGCUUUGUGUUGCUUUGAUUGCUCUAUUAUUUAUUUGUGUUCCCCCUUCGUUACUUCUUUUCGGUAGACCUCGAGACCGCCGCCGAUACCCCCGUGAUCGACUACGUCACCGAUGACCCUCCUUCUUGCCAGAGCAACCAGGCAAGCCCCCCCCCCCUUGAUCACCAGAUAUCGCCUAUUCCUUCUCUCUAAUGCUUGCAUUAGAGUAGUGUAGCAUGUUACUGCUUUUGGUUAAUCCUAUUCUGUUGCAUAGCCUGUCAUUGUUGGUACAGUUGUUACCCUUACCUGCAAUCCUAAAUGCUUAGUAUAGGAUGCUAAUAUUCCAUCAGUGGCUUUACAUUCUUGUCCGUCUGCCAUGCUAUACUACUGGGUCGUGAUCAUUCGGGAGGUGAUCACGGGCAUAUGAUAUAUACUUUAUACUGUUACAUUACUUAUGAUAAUGUUCGGAGAUGGGGGCUGAAGGGGCAGGUGGCUCCAUCCCGGCAGAGGUGGGCCUGGGUUCCCGACGGCCCCUGACUGUUACUUUGUGGCGGAGCGACAGGGUAGGUUAAGACCACCUAGGAGAGAGGUGGGCCUAGCCCUGGUCGGCGUUCGCGGAUACUUCAAUUAACACGCUUAACGAGAUCUUGGUAUUUGGUCUGAGUAUGGCCACUGGCCUAUACGCACUAACCAACUACGCGGGAACAGUUAUGGGCACUCGAUGUCAUGGUAUCAGCCGAAGCCUUCUUGAUGUCAGCGAUUGAGCGGCGCGCGCCGGAUUGGACUGGAAUGCCUACUCUUCUAUUAGGGAGGCUAGGUCUGCUUACCGGCCGCGUACGCAACGUGCAGGUGUGCAAUGGGCGAUGGGCCCAGACCCCUGCGUGCAUAGACCGGCGUGCUGACCUCUCUGUUGUGCCUAGGUGGGGCUGCGACGUGUUGAUCUUCCGAGGUCGGGCAUGACCCAGGAAAGUGUGUCCGGCCAAAGGGGAUCGAGCGUGUUGGGUUAUGUGGUGCACCCCUGCAGGGAAGUUUAUCUAUUCGAAUAGCCGUGAUUUUCGGUAACAGGACGACUUGGAGUUGUACCUUGACCUUAUGACAACUAGAACUGGAUACUUAAUAAAACACACCCUUCCAAGUGCCAGAUAUAACCCGGUGAUCGCUCUCUAACAGGGCAACGAGGGGAGGAUCGCCGGGUAGGAUUAUGCUAUGCGAUGAUACUUGGUGAACUUACCAUCUACUCUCUUCUACAUGCUGCAAGAUGGAGGCUGCCAGAAGCGUAGUCUUCGACAGGACUAGCUAUCCCCCUCUUAUUCUGGCAUUCUGUAGUUCAGUCCACUGAUAUUGCCCCUUUACACUGAUACCCAUACAUAUGUAGUGUAGAUCCUCACUUGCGAGUACUUUGUAUGAGUACUCACGGUUGCUUUUCUCCCUCUUUUCCCCCUUUCCAUUCUACCUGGUUGUCGCAACCAGAUGCUGGAGCCCAGGAGCUUGACGCCACCGUCGACGACGACUCCUACUACACCGGAGAUGCCUACUACUACGUGCAGGCCGCUGACGACGACCAGGAGUAGUUUAGGA
rnacentral:lncRNA from 1 species